rnacentral:lncRNA from 1 species
AGCCAAGACAAGUCAUGCCACGGCGACAUUGCGCCACCGUGGAUAAGGUUGAUGAUUACUGCUGCUGCUGCUGAAGAAUGCUAGUACUACUAGUUUGUUUGCUUCAUGUUUAAUUAUGGUAAUCCUAGACCAUCAUUAGUACUUAUUUUGUGAUUGUAAUCUUCCUAUUGUCCUAGCCAGUGGAUAUGGAUAAGAACAAUGUCAUUGAUGUGUGGCGGAGCACAAAUGGAUUGUGCCUAUCUUUGGGUUGAUUUGUAAUAACAUCUUGACAUGGAACCUAUAUAUGUUUGCAGUUAUUUAGCUAUGUGUUACUUUGGCAAGCGUUUGAUUGAAUUUUAUGAAAUGACCCAAGUUGAUUGUUGAGUGCUGAUUAUGUUACGUUUGUAAGUAUGAUAUACCCCUUUUGCCAAAAGUAGAUUACCCAGAGAUUGUAUCUGAAAGUAUCAAUGCACUCCUUUGUACCUGAUAUAUGUGCUUUGAACCUGUGAUGAGCGGAGAAUUGCUAUAAGGCCAUAGUGGAGACGCCAUGCUCUAGCAUUUGCUGCUGUACGGAUACUUUUGAUGAAAAAAUUGCGAGCCUGAUCUUUUCUUGGAAAUUUGCGUUGAUUGUGAUUAGCUUCUGUUUAGAACACGCAGUUUUCAUUCAUAAAAAAUUAGUAUUAGAUUGGUCCAUUAAGGCGUCAAGCUUCUAGUUUGCUUCUUAACAAAGUGAGUCGAUCAUUGGUUUUAGCUCGUUAAACUUAAUGAGCUUACCUAACAAGCUACCGAAUUGCACGACCAAAUUUUAAGCCCCUAAUACAACACAACACACUUGUUAGGCUCCUAAUACAGCACAAUGCAUAUUUUUUUAUCUUAAAUGACAACGUUUAAUGGCAUCUCGGGCUUUCUAUUCCAUCGAAUCGACUCAUUCCAGACUAAUAACUAGGAGGACAUCUCCUCCCAUGUCACUAUCUCCCUUGAUAAAAUCAUAGCCGCACCACUGUCCUGUAGGCCCUUAUACCUUGCACCCAAAGCAAAAGGGGUAACCCGUACUAACAAGAGCUCAUGAACUUUAAACAAAUAUAGUUGGGCAUGGUUUCGCUCAUUAAGCAUAUCGAGCUUAACAAGCCGAGCAACUAGUUAAUCCACCCCUAGGUGGAUGUACAUGCCUUGCGUGUCUGAAGUAGUGGCACGAUGGUGAAGGAGGUUGCGCCGUGUGGAAUAUGGCUCUCUUGGUUCCUCACUAGUCAUGGAGCUAGUGAUUUUUGGAUUUGAUUGAUUGAAUCUUUACACUAGAUUACUCAUUCCUUCAAUGACCCUUUGCUCUUGUUGGUGAUGGUGGAAUAUUGUAUAGAUCGUGUAUGAGGGUUUCUUCUUCCUUGGUGGUUUUUUUGGCGUCAUUUAUGAUCUUGGUUUUUGACACAAUUGAUGCUUCUGUCUUUUCGUGUGUUGAAGCCAAAUGUACAUAUAUGAUUUGAUCUCCCCAGCCAACCUAAAAUCGGAUUUUGCAGCCGAUGGUGGAGUGGUGGAGCGCAUCGAAUUCCGUUCUAUUGAGUGUUGACAGUGUAGAAAAGAAGACUUUCCAUAGUGUGUCGGGCUUGUCAUUCAGUUGUAAAUUGGUAUUACCCUAAAAAAUGUUGUAAUUUGAUGUCUUGUAAUGUGGAUCCGCAAGACAAUUGCUUUUUUAGGGGGAAAAUGGCACCUUAAUUUCCUUUUAUUUCAUUUUAGGAGUAUCCUACUUCGAUUUUUUAGCGGAAUUUCUACUUUCUUAUGGACAUGCCAAUUAAGGCUUUUUUUGGGGGUAGAAUUCAACCAGUGCCGCAAGAGACACGAACGAGGUGGCCCAUGAAUUAGUAGGUUUGGUUCAUUGUUGGUCGACGAAAUCCCAUUACAGCUUAACUUGUGUAACUGUUGUUUGAAGGUUGAAGCCAUGAUGCCUUCUCUGAAGAAAAAUAUCCUUACUUUCCUAUGGGCUCUAAACUGGGUACUUCUACUGUUCAGGCCGAAUUUCAGCUGGGCCAAACCCAAAUUUAGUUCCGGCUAAUGAUUGACAAGAACUGUAGCAACAAUAAUGGAGGUUUUCCUUAAAAAACAAUAAUGGAGGUAAAGCAAAUAACGAUAUCUUCGGUCUUAAAAAUCAGCUGGUAUAUAUCCUGAGCCGCCACAGGAACCCAAUCUCUUUGUUUUUUUGUCAAUAGCUGUAGCAAAAUUUGCCACAGCAAAGACAGUGACAUACGAUUUAUGUAUAUACUUUCAAAGAUGGAAAAAAAAUAAACUGAUACUUAUUCACAUUGCCUUUGAUUCCUCCAUAUCCAGUGUGAUUUCACUGGCAAUCCCGGGGGAUACAGACAAUCUGAUCACAGGUCACCCUGUAGUAGUAGUUUCAGAAAAGUUUUCCCUUGCAGCGCCCAUGUACUACAUACGUACACAAUGAUUGAGAAAAUGAUCAUGGGGCUAUUCAUCGUUUGAUGUACCCCUUCCUUGCUAGUCACACAACCACCGUGUGCAGAAGAGCUUCAUGCCCGCGGGAAAUGAGCAACUAUCUCAUGCUGUCCGUGCCGAAGCAGAGUGUCGUGUCGUAAGAGGACCCCCCUCCUCCUCCGGUAACGCCUUCCAUGAGCGCGAAUCGCAUGUCCUCCGACGGCUUCCAAUGCCGCUUCCUCUGGUUGACGAACCAGUUGUUGAUCUGCCUCGGGUCGAGGCCAGUCAUGGCGGCGAGCCUCACCUUAUCAUCUUCCUGCGAACAUCACGGUAUCUAUCCAUGAAUGAUGAUCGUCGAUCAAGGUUUGAUGCAGCAGGGGUGGGAGAUGUCAUUGCCGGAAGAAAAAGCGCGAGGCGCGGCAUGUACCGUCGGGUAAGGCCAGCGGUAGUGUGUGUUCCACCAGUCCACGAGAGCAAGCCGAGCAUCCUUGGGGAGCUUCCCUUUCUUCCUCUUCUUCAGGAACUCGGUCCGGAGGUGGCUGAGGCAGCCGCUGUACUUGUUGAGCAGCAUCUCCCUGAGCUCGCGGUCGGCCAACCGGGAGCUCUGCUCUUGCAUGCCGGCGUCGGAUGCACCGGUGUCCCCUGAGCAUGGCUCGUCCUCCGAUGACUCCACCAUUUCAUCUUGCAUCAUGGAGACACCCCAAAUCAGACAUGCAUUUAGACAAAAUGAUGUGUGGCAUCAGUAUCAGGUUGCAUGGCAGUAAUACAGUGCACAGACAGAACUAGAACAGGACAACAUCGAUAAGCAGACAAGUGCAGAUAAUCACUUGGUUGCACAGAAACUACACGCACAGAAGCACAUUCAGAACCCAAAGGUGCUGCUGGAUACUUAACAAACAACAAUAUGGGAAUCUGCAUGCAGAAAAUCUUCUGGAAAAUGUCUCAAGAAAAGACGAUCGAAGGAGCUUCAGAACUGGAAGUUUCUCCAUAAGAAUGUGCUAUGCAGUGUAUCUAGAAAUAUACUUCUAAAAGAGCACUGAAAUGAAUGAAACUUGAUUAUCGAUUGGUUAAUAAAUCUGUAGUAGCAAGUAUUAGUCUGAAAACCCAGUCAGUCUAAGAAAAUGGGAUGAAAAUCAGGCCACUUUUAUCUAUCAACCCUACAUGAAUGAACAAUGGUUCACAGCUAGAGCCAAACUGAUUAGUUCAGCUUGUGCUUCGGGAAACAGAGACUAUAUAAGCAUUCUUUCGGCAUGACUGACGUUUUGUGGAGCUAUUCCUACAGCUGCUGUCUCAGUAGGAAACACUUUCUGUACUACAAUCAAGUCUAUGUAGGCAAAUAGCUCUUUUAUAUUGUGAGUGAGCUUCAUUAGUACAAGUCGUAACUUCUGAAGCUUAAGUUCAGGAAAAAGUAACCUUUUUUCGAACCAACUGAGGCAUCAGAAAAAACAACUUCAACCUAUCUAAUUUAUGGAUGCAACUAUGGUUACGAUUGGAAUUUGUAGUGCCUGUUUGGUCAUCAGUUGAGACUUCAAGAAUUUGCAAAGCCAAAAAGAUAAGAGGCAUUUUGUGUAUUAUCUAGGCUUAUUUGAUUUUUAACAUCUUCGACCUUAAGAAGCGGUUUACGAAAGAGAGAGAGCUCAGUGUCCAAUUAGAAGCACUCGGAACUACAGCUUUGUUUAAUUUGACACAUAGCGGCUGGGCUCAUACAAACCACAUCGGGGUUGGUUGAUGUUAAUGAACUUGAGGUUGACGCUCUAGGGUGUAAUAAUAAAAAAUAAUAAAAAAUCUAGCGGCGACAUAAAAAUGGAGCAGAUGAGCCCAGGAGCAGAAUUGGGUUUCCGUUUUGGCUCUAGGGAGCAUAUGCUCCUGGAUGUACAGUAAAUUCAAAACAGCUAGUAAAUAAAAUUUAAAAAUUCUGAUUUUCUUAUAGAUGUUCAUGUUAUUGUAGCAAGCCUGCUUCAGAAUUUUCAUGCGAAACAGGUUAGCAAUGCUUCGUCAGUGAAAAAAUAAUUAAAUGUAACAUUUGGUGUUUGACUUCUUUUUGCAUGGGUCAAAAUGGUUAAGCUUUCCCCCUAUAAAAGUUUUCAGAUGUUUUUGACAUUUGGAAAAAAACAUUUUUAGCGCCGGGGAGCAUGUGCUCCCAGGAGCCGAAUUGAAUUACGUAGGUGACAAUACCCAUAUGGCUAUCUGAGAUUCCAACACUUAAAUUUUUUAGCUGCAAAAAAAAAGAGAAAGAAUCCAAUUCUCAUAAGCACAUUGGCAGGUCAUGUAAUAAAAAAGAAUAUUUGGAUGUAAAUAAUCUAGCUAGACAAUAUUACUGUGCACCUGCUUCAUUUUAGCAUUUGAGUUGUGCAUAUUUCAAAGUUCUAACAAUAGGGCAUCUUCAUUGAAGUACCUGCCGGACUAACCAGCGGCCUAUUUUUUUUGAGAAACAGAGUACAGACAUAGAUGUCCACAUACACACACACACACACACACGCAUACUCACCCCAAUGAACACACACACCCUACCCCUAUGAGCACCUCUGUUGAAAUUGAAGUACUCCCUCUGUAAAGGAAUAUAAGAGCGCUUAGAUCAAUCUAAACAUCUAAAUGCUCUUAUAUUUCUUUACAGAGGGAGUACUAUCAUAAAAAACUGUGUACUAUGCGGUGCAAUGUGACAUUUUGAAUGAUGACAUGCUUAGCAGAUCAUUCUAACAUUGUUUCUCACACCAGAAUUGAUGGAGGGGACACAUUGAGUAGACACUAAAAGAUGACCAGCUCAAUUAGCAAAGUCAAAAUAUAUGGGGGCUGAAACCAUAAUUAGAAUCACAUGUUGGGUGCACAAAUUAGGCACAACCCGGCAUUCUUGAAUAAAAUCAGAAUAGACACACUAAUGGCUUUCUUGAAUCCAAGCAAACUAUGCAUACUGCUAUGCAUUCUUCAGGACUAUCGUGUGAGCACUUACCAUACUAGUUUGAACUAUUGUGAACAUAGUCAGCUAUUUAGUCAUAGCUCAUACUCCCUCCGUUCCAAAAUAGAUGACCCAACUUUGUACUAAACUUAGUAUAAAGUUGAGUCAUCUAUUUUGGAACGGAGGGAGUACAUGUGACCUACCUAGACCAAACAAACAAAGAUAAAUAUAGUAUUUCUACUUAAGCAUUGUCACACCAGUUUCAUAUGGCAUCAUUAACUCAGUCUUAUCAUAAGCUUCAACCAAGUCAUUGUGUGUUCCUUUAUAUCUAUAUAUUAACUAGGUAGAUAGGCUACACAUCACGAAGCACAACUUGUAUGGACUAUGGAGUUAGUGAUUUAACAUGCACGCAGACUAACUUGCCACAGUUUUUGUUAAAACUGGUAAAUUUGAUAGAAAACUAGGAAAUUUCACUAUAUACAUGAUGAUCAUGUUUCAUGCUCCUUUGUAGUACCCAGCAGUGGCAGAGCUUAGUGCGGGCCAGAGUGGGCCAUGCCCCCCCAGGAAAAGUAUUUCCUUAUAUUAACACCUCAUAUCUAAAACUAUUUGGGGUCAAAUUUGACANNNNNNNNNNNNNNNNNNNNNNNNNNNNNNNNNNNNNNNNNNNNNNNNNNNNNNNNNNNNNNNNNNNNNNNNNNNNNNNNNNNNNNNNNNNNNNNNNNNNNNNNNNNNNNNNNNNNNNNNNNNNNNNNNNNNNNNNNNNNNNNNNNNNNNNNNNNNNNNNNNNNNNNNNNNNNNNNNNNNNNNNNNNNNNNNNNNNNNNNNNNNNNNNNNNNNNNNNNNNNNNNNCCCCAACUCCGCUUAAAGGUUCAUUUAGACACCUGUCAAAUCCCGUUGAAGCUCCGCCACUGGUACCCAGUACAUUUCUACUUGGGUGCCAAAUAUAUUAGAAGGUGGAAAAAACAAAACCGCAACUGUUUUGGCCACAAGAACAAUUGUUUGAUAUGUGGUAUAUAUAAGACCAAUAACAUGUUUAAUAUGUCCCAGCCAUCAUGAUGACAAAAUUUCCUUCUAACUUUAUUGAACAUCUGAAGUUCCAAAAACCUUGUGUGUUUUCACUACUCCAGACUCACAUAUUCAUGAUGGAAAGAUGAGUAAUUCAUACAAACCCCUUUUCUUUUUCCCAAGAAUGCAAAUCAAGGCCACACUUUUGAGAACGUAUAUUUCGCAUAACUAUGAUAUCUGUGACAUAACAAGUGCACAAAACCAUACUUUUAAGUAUGGAUUUGACAUAACUUGCACCUUCUUAGAUAUAGCUUUGCCAGCUUGUUAGCAUUUAUAUUCUGUAGAAAACAACUUUCCACAUAAUACAAUGCUAACAAGCUGACAUUAAGCAUUGGAUAGCUAGUGGGCCUAGUUUUUCAACACCACCACAAAUGCUAAAACCUUGGCUUUCUAAUAUGCUAUGUAAAAUGUGUUUUUUUACAAAUUGUUUUGCUAAAAUAUGUAUUUUUAUGAGAAAUCUCUGGAAAUAUUGAUAGAUUUGUAGAUGUAGAAUGGCUUAAGAAACAAUUGCUCCAGGCUAAAACAACACCAUAGCCUUGUUAAUUGUUAACCACUUAAGUUCGUAAACAAGAAAUUAAGAUAAAAUCCUACGAUUGAAACUGCAAUUACAAGAUACAUCUCCUACUUAGGGCAUCUCCAACUCAGUCCAUCAACACGCCCCUAAAUAUCCAGACCGCGCGGUCCGAACACUUUGUGCCAUCCAGCGUCGUGCAGCAAAUGUCUGCAGACCGGUCCGCACAUCUGAAUUCCCGCAAAUCGGAAGCAAAGCUGGGGAUGGUUUGCGGAUGUUUGGACAGCCGCCACGUCAGACUCGGACACCACCCACACAAAAACCCAACUCGGAGCCCCGCUUUUCUCAAUCCGUCCCUCCGCCCUUGUUGUGUAUUUGCGUAGUCCGAGACCGACGUUGCCGCUGUACCACCUACUCCGCCGCCCAGACCUUGUCGGACCUCCAUCGCUCCAGCCAGGCUCCAGCCCCGACUUGCCUACACCUCCCUUCCAUCCUUGGUCUGGCCGCCGCCCAGGUACCCUCCGCCCCUGCACAUUUCUUUCCAUGGCGGACAUCGUGCCUGGCAAGUGUUCGGCCAAAUGCCAUAGCCAAAUUUAUGGAUGUUUUUGUUGUUUACUUUGAAGCAAACACGAUGGAUUCGGCCAUGGAGUAUUUCUAUCGAACUUCCAAAGCAUAAUUUGGUGACGUUUCAGGAAUUUAUCCAAAUGCAUCAACAAAUUCGGCAUCGAGCAACUCAUGAGCAGUUUCAGAAUUAUCUAGUUGAGCAUUUGUUGACUAUUCGAGGGGAGGAGUCAAAAAUAUAUCCGAAUAAGUUGAAUACAAUUUUGAAUUAUUUUAUUGAAAGACUUCAUGUUUGAAUUGAUAUAUUUAUAUUUGAAUUGUUGUUGCAUCAGAAUAUUUGCACAGCAUAAUUAUGGACAAAGGCUGCCAUUUAUCUUUAAUUAUUUUAUGUGCUCUGAAUAUAGGGAAAAAAAGACCAAGGGCGGACAUUUGAUGUAUAGGGUUGGAUGGCCUCCCCCUAUACGUUGUCCACGGAGGCGUCUGGACGUGUCCUUGAACAUUUGGGGUGUUCAUCUUUUGAUGGACGGCGUUGGAGAUGCCCUUAGUAAUUUGUAAGUCUAUAACGCGCGUCUGAAAAAAAUCUUCAGCCCAUUAUCUUCAAAUGAGAUUUCGUUAAAAAAUAAUCCCCGAGGCUGUCAAAACAGAAACAAACAAGCGUGUGUCUAGCUCUCAAGUAGAUGAGAAAUAAAUAUGUUUCAUCUAACUUCUAUACCGUUGGAUUUUACCCGGAGAUUUGUAGGUUUUUUCUUUUCUUUUGAUUAAUCAAGUAGUGUAGGAGUUAGAUGAAACUUUGUUAAUUUUCAUCUCUAUGUCAAACAAAAACGAACAAACAAUACUAUAUUUACUUACCAGAAGUAAUUCAACCAAGCUAUCAUAUCAAGCACUGACGAAACAAAAUAAAGUUCCGUGAAUGAUCAACAAGAAGAUUCACACUUGCCCCCACAGCAACAAUAAAAAAAAGCUUCGCCAUUGGGAACCAGUGAUUAACCAGCAUGCAAGAGCAAGAUUCUUUCUUUCCCAGCCUAGCUCUCUCUCAAGUUCCAUCACCAGCCCAGCCUGCAAAGUCUACAAGUAGUAGGGUAGCAGCUACUCCUAGUACCUCACUAGCCUCUAGAGAGAGAGAGAGAGAGAGUGAAAAGGAUCUGGAGAGAGAUAUGGAGAGAGAAGCAUGCAUAGGUAGGCUGAGCUACAAGGACGAUGGAACCUUGGACAAAACCCUACACGAUGUCCCGUCGUCUGACACGCCUGCGCCCCAUUGGCAUGGACACGAUUUAACCUAUCAAGAACACUCAUCAAAGCCACAUUCACACACAAAGCAUCAAACACUUUCACACAAUCGAAUCCAAGGCUGCAGAGGACUGCGGCUAGCCGGAGAAAAUCAAGGCGCGAGAUGCAAUGCAUGUAUGCAUAAUAUGCAUGCGGAUUUUAUACCGGAGUGCGGCGAGGUGGCGGUGGCUCCGCCGCCGCAGAGCUUCUUGAACUGCGAGCGGAUGGUGGUGAGGAAGGAAGCGGCUUCGUCCAACGGCCGGGACAGCUCCACCUUGUACCGCGACAGCAGCCGGCAGUACGCCUCCUGCAUCGUCAUCUCCACAUGUAAUAACCAGCAAGAGCUAGCGCGCGAGGAUAAGGGGAGUUAGCUGCCGUGAACUUGUUGUACCUACCAUGAACUCGUCGAGCUCGGGGUCGAGGCCGAUCUCCCCGGCGGCGGCGGCGGCGCCUCCGCCACGCCUCUCUGGCCGGCCGACCUCCUCCAGCAGCGAGGCUACCUCCGGCGUUGCUCCCACCUGACAAAUCAAGAAUCAACGUGGCAAUUAAUUCUUGGACGAUGAGUGAGUGAGUGAACUAGCUAGCUCGAGCUACUUAUGGACUACUACUACAGCAUGCAAAAUGGAUUUGGACACGGACGGACCUUGCGGCAUUCGAUGUAGGCGGAGAGGAGGGAGGGGUAGCGGCGGUGCCCGGCGAUCUGCGUCUUCAUCAGCUCCGUCAGAUCCGCCGGUGGCGGAGGAGGGGGAGGAGAGCUGGCAUCACCGGCGACCCCUGACACCUCGCUGCAGGCCGCGUCGCCCUCGCCUCGGCGCGAGAUCCCCGGGUGGAUGCUGUACAGAUCCUCCAUCGAUCUCCUUCUCCCCCAGGGUGGAUGCUGUACUUAUGCUUUUUGUCAGUUGGAGAAUUUCAAUCGACUACGGCGCCACGUAGUAGAGCGCGACGCUUGCGUGUGCGAUACAAUCAUACUCGUACAACAGAUGUUGUGCUACUUCAUGCAUAUGCAUGGUCGUGAUCUUGGACACGCGCGGCCGAUCGUUUGGUAGCCCGCGUAUACUUCAGCCCGUGGCGAAUCUUGGAAAAGAAAAAUGAAGGGGUGCUCAAAGUGAACUGUGUGUAGAAAAUGUUAAAAACUCUCAAUUCUUUAGUCCAAAUAAGGUUAAAAAACUGAUAUGAAUACUAGUAAUUUCUCUUUUCCAAUUUUUGGAGGGGGCCUUGAGCCUGUCGGAGCCCCCCCGCUAGAUUCGUCACUGAUUUUAGCCAGGCUCGCACGGGAAGAAAAUAACCCGUCUGGUUACCCGCAUUCACUGUUGGGCUUGUAUAGCACGAAUAUUAAAGCACACGAACAUUAAAGCAUAUCUGGGUCUGCAUGAAGAGAAACACUCAAAUCGGUCAUUUUUUGAAGCUAGACCCAAGCGGUGCAACUCUAAACACGUGGGUGUGGGCGGUUACACGCGUGGAUGCGGUCCUGAGAAGUCGCGUUGUUUCCCGACACGUCGUCAUAAAUUACCCUCACCUUCCUUCCUCACCGCUCUCUCCCCUCUUUCCAACUCACACCGGCGGCGACGACCACCGAAGCGGCUGCAGACCUCCACCAGAGCGCAUCGGCCAUGGCGGUAAGUCCUCGCCCUCUCUAUAGAUUUACCGCUUUCGACUCGAGCUAGAUUAGACGUGAGCACGCGAUCGGAGAGUUAGGGAGGGGAUUGAACACAUCGUGGGUGGAGGAUUGGAUUAAAACACUGCCAUCGAUCGAUUCUGCACGGAUGACUUCCACACCCAGUGGGUGCUAGCGCGCCCCCACUGUUCAGCCGCAAAGACAAGAAGAGCAAGAAGACUCUACCGCAACCACGCGCUUCACGUCCUGCGUCCGCUCUUGAUCAUCCCGGACGAAGGUUUGCAGACGGCUCUCGCCUCCCCGGAUCUGCUGGCGCGGGGCUUCCACCGCCGUGUCCUCCGGGUUCGCGGUCCGACGACAACCUCGCCGGCCUCCGCCCAGGGCUACUGCGGGCCGGCACCGGACCCGCUCUCCAACGCUCGCUCCGAGUUCAUGAUGACUUGCGGUGGCACCACCACCAGGGUAUUGCCGCCUCCUAUCGGCGCCCCGUGGCCGGCGUUGACCCCGGCGCGCUGUCCGGCGUCGCCUGCGCCGCGCCGGUCGGAGGGCGUCCUCCCCAUGAGUUCCUCCCUCGGCCUCGUUCCCGGGCGGGGUGUCCACUAUAAUCUCCUUGAUGUUCUCUGACUCGUCGCCGGCCAGCUACGCCUGCUCGUCCGGGUCAGAACCCUCCUCCAUCAGCAGCCCGACGAUCGUGUCGACCGGCGUCAGGCCUUCCCCCCACUCCGGCCAGGCCGGGUCCGCGGCGGUUCUCCCUCUCACCUCAGCGGCCCUUUGUCGGUGUCAAAACCGGCGGAUCUCGGGUAGGGGGUCCCGAACUGUGCGUCUAAGGUCGAUGGUAACAUGAGACAAGGGACACGAUGUUUACCCAGGUUCGGGCCCUUUCUAUGGAGGUAAUACCCUACGUCCUGCUUGAUUGAUAUUGAUGAAUAUGAAUGUUACAAGAGUUUAUCUACCUCGAGAUCGUAAUGGCUAAACCCUAGAGGUCUAGCGUGUAUGGCUAUGAUAAUCAGCCUCCUCUAUCCGGACUAAGUCCUCCGGUUUAUAUAGACACCGGGAGGAUCUAGGGUUACAUAAGGUCUGUUACAAAGGAAGGAAUCUACAUAUUCGGUCACCAAGUUUGCCUUCUACGCCAAGGAGAGUCUUAUCCGGACACGAGUACAGUCUUCGGUCUUUGUAUUUGUUGGGGAAUGUAGUAAUUUCAAAAAAAAAUCUACGCACACGCAAGAUCAUGGUGAUGCAUAGCAACGAGAGGGAAGAGUACCAUCCACGUACCCUCAUAGACCGUAAGCGUAAGCGUUAUGAGAACGCGGUUGAUGUAGUUGAACGUCUUCACGAUCCGACCGAUCCAAGUACCGAACGCACGACACCUCCGAGUUCAGCACACGUUCAUCUCAAUGACGUCCCAUGAACUCCGAUCCAGCAGAGCUUCACGGGAGAGUUCCGUCAGCACGACGGCGUGUUGAUGGUGAUGAUGUUGCUACCGACGCAGGGCUUCGCCUAAGCACCGCUACGAUAUGAUCGAGGUGGAUUAUGGUGGAGGGGGGGCACCGCACACGGCUAAGGGAUCAAUGAUCAACUUGUGUGUCUAGAGGUGCCCCUUGCUCCCGUAUAUAAAGGAGCANNNNNNNNNNNNNNNNNNNNNNNNNNNNNNNNNNNNNNNNNNNNNNNNNNNNNNNNNNNNNNNNNNNNNNNNNNNNNNNNNNNNNNNNNNNNNNNNNNNNNNNNNNNNNNNNNNNNNNNNNNNNNNNNNNNNNNNNNNNNNNNNNNNNNNNNNNNNNNNNNNNNNNNNNNNNNNNNNNNNNNNNNNNNNNNNNNNNNNNNNNNNNNNNNNNNNNNNNNNNNNNNNNNNNNNNNNNNNNNNNNNNNNNNNNNNNNNNNNNNNNNNNNNNNNNNNNNNNNNNNNNNNNNNNNNNNNNNNNNNNNNNNNNNNNNNNNNNNNNNNNNNNNNNNNNNNNNNNNNNNNNNNNNNNNNNNNUGUCCGAAUAUAGUCGUCCAAUAUAUCGAUCUUUACGUCUCGACCAUUUCGAGACUCCUCGUCAUGUCUGUGAUCAUAUCCGGGACUCCGAACUACCUUCGGUACAUCAAAACACAAAAACUCAUAAUACCGAUCGUCACCGAACUUUAAGCGUGCGGACCCUACGGGUUCGAGAACUAUGUAGACAUGACCGAGACACGUCUCCGGUCAGUAACCAAUAGCGGAACCUGGAUGUUCAUAUUGGCUCCCACAUAUUCUACGAAGAUCUUUAUCGAUCAAACCGCAUAACAUCAUACGUUGUUCCCUUUGUCAUCGGUAUGUUACUUGCCCGAGAUUCGAUCGUCGGUAUCUCAAUACCUAGUUCAAUCUCGUUACCGGCAAGUCUCUUUACUCAUUCUGUAAUGCAUCAUCCCACAACUAACUCAUUAGUUACAAUGCUUGCAAGGCUUAUAGUGAUGUGCAUUACCGAGUGGGCCCAGAGAUACCUCUCUGACAAUCAGAGUGACAAAUCCUAAUCUUGAUCUAUGCCAACUCAACAAGUACCAUUGGAGACACCUGUAGAGAACCUUUAUAAUCACCCAGUUACGUUGUGACGUUUGGUAGCACACAAAGUGUUCCUCCGGUAAUCGGGAGUUACAUAAUCUCAUAGUCAUAGGAACAUGUACAAGUCAUGAAGAAAGCAAUAGCAGUAAACUAAAACGAUCAAGUGCUAAGCUAACCGAAUGGGUCAAGUCAAUCAUAUCAUUCUCCUAAUGAAGGGAUCCCAUUAAUCAAAUGACAACUCAUGUCUAUGGUUAGGAAACUUAACCAUCUUUGAUUAAUGAGCUAGUCAAGUAGAGGCAUACUAGUGACACUCUAUUUGUCUAUGUAUUCACACAUGUACUAAGUUUCCGGUUAAUAAAAUUCUAGCAUGAAUAAUAAACAUUUAUCAUGAUAUGAGGAAAUAAAUAAUAACUUUAUUAUAGCCUCUAGUGCAUAUUUCCUUUAGUCUCCCACUUGCACUAGAGUCAAUAAUCUAGAUUACACAGUAAUGAUUCCAACACCCAUGGAGCCUUGGUGCUGAUCAUGUUUUGCUCGUGAGAGAGGCUUAGUCAACGGGUCUGCAACAUUUAGAUCCGUAUGUAUCUUGCAAUCUCUAUGUCUCCCACCUGGACUUGAUCGCGGAUGGAAUUGAAGCGUCUCUUGAUGUGCUUGGUUCUCUUGUGAAAUCUGGAUUCCUUUGCCAAGGCAAUUGCACCAGUAUUGUCACAAAAGAUUUUCAUUGGACUCGAUGCACUAGGUAUGACACCUAGAUCGGAUAUGAACUCCUUCAUCCAGACUCCUUCAUUUGCUGCUUCCGAAGCAGCAAUGUACUCCGCAUCACACGUAGAUCCCGCCACGACACUUUGUUUAGAACUGAUCCAACUGACAGCUCCACCGUUCAAUAUAAACACGUAUCCGGUUUGUGAUUUAGAAUUGUCCGGAUCAGUGUCAAAGCUUGCAUUAAUGUAACCAUUUACGAUGAGCUCUUUGUCACCUCCAUAAACGAGAAACAUAUCCUUAGUCCUUUUAAGGUAUUUCAGGAUGUUCUUGACCGUUGUCUAGUAAUCCACUCCUAGAUUACUUUGGUACCUCCCUGCUAAACUAAUAGCAAGGCACACAUCAGGUCUGGUACACAACAUUGCAUACAUGAUGGAGCCUAUAGCUGAAGCAUAGGGAACAUCUUUCAUUUUCUCUCUAUCUUUUGCAGUGGUCGGGCAUUGAGUCUUACUCAACUUCACACCCUGUAACACAGGUAAGAAUCCUUUCUUUGCCUGAUCCAUUUUGAACUUCUUCAAAACUUUGUCAAGGUAUGUGCUUUGUGAAAGUCCAAUUAAGCGUCUUGAUCUAUCUUUGUAGAUCUUGAUGCCCAAUAUGUAAGCAGCUUCACCGAGGUCUUUCAUCGAAAAACUCUUAUUCAAGUAUCCUUUUAUGCUAUCCAGAAAUUCUAUAUCAUUUCCAAUCAACAAUAUGUCAUCCACAUAUAAUAUUACAAAUGCUAGAGAGCUCCCACUCAUGUUCUUGUAAAUACAAGCUUCUCCAAAAGUCUGUAUAAAACCAUAUGCUUUGAUCACACUAUCAAAACAUUUAUUCCAACUCUGAGAGGCUUGCACCAGUCCAUAAAUGGAUCGCCGGAGCUUGCACACUUUGUUAGCACCCUUUGGAUCGAUAAAAACUUCAGGUUGCAUCAUAUACAACUCUUCUUCCAGAAAUCCAUUCAGGAAUGCAGUCUUUACAUCUAUUUGCCCAAUUUCAUAAUCAUAAAAUGCGGCAAUAGCUAACAUGAUUCGGACGGACUUAAGCAUUGUCGGUGUCAAAACCGGCGGAUCUCGGGUAGGGGGUCCCGAACUGUGCGUCUAAGGCGGAUGGUAACAGGAGGCGGGGGACACAAUGUUUACCCAGGUUCGGGCCCUCUUGAUGGAGGUAACACCCUACUUCCUGCUUGAUUGAUCUUGAUGAUAUGAGUAUUACAAGAGUUGAUCUACCACGAGAUCGUAGAGGCUAAACCCUAGAAGCUAGCCUAUGAUUAUGAUUAUUCUUGUCCUACGGACUAAACCCUACGGUUUAUAUAGACACGAAGAGGGCUAGGGUUACACAGAGUCGGUUAUAGGGGAGGAGAUCUACAUAUCCGAAUUGCCAAGCUUGCCUUCCACGCAAAGGAGAGUCCCACCCGGACACGGGACGAAGUCUUCAAUCUUGUAUCUUCAUAGCCCAACACUCUGGCCAAAGGAUAUAGUCCGACUGUCCGAGGACCCCCUAAUCCAGGACUCCCUCAGUAGCCCCUGAACCAGGCUUCAAUGACAAUGAGUCCGGCGCGCAGAUUGUCUUCGGCAUUGCAAGGCGGGUUCUUCCUUCGAAUACUCCAUAGAAGAUUUCAAACACAAGGAUAGUGUCCGGCUCUGCAAAACAAAUUCGACAUACCAUCGUAGAGAGUAUAAUAUCUCCACAAAUCUAAUCUGCCGACAACUUUUCAUAACGUGACAUCACGCCAUGGCCCGGUCAUUAUUCGAACCGUUUUCCUCAACCAGCUACUGCACAUAUUGCGGGGCGGUUUUCUUGGCAAGUCUUGUCGAAGAAGAGAUCGUGUCCCCUUAUCACGGGAUUCUCAUCAUUACGGGUGUGGGUAACCCAACCGUGCCAUCAAUCACGGCGCUUGGGGAACAAGCGAGUUUACUAGGCGGGUGGGGAGGCGCAUAGUUUCUUCCGCCCUUAUAAAGGGACAAGGACUCCUCCUUUUCACCCAUGCCUUCUUCUUCCCUGCCCAUCCAUUCUCGCGCACUCGAGCUCCAACGCCCAAGUUCGCAUUUUCUUCGUAAAACCACUCCAGACAUGUCCGGAGUGGGAGGCAAGUGGAUGGUCUCCUCUGUUACGGAGGAUAACAUUACGAAGCUCCGGGAAGCCGGAUACCUGGCCGCAGAUAUCGCGCACCGGCUCCCAAACGCGGGGCAGAUCGUCCCUACCCCCGAACCCCACAAAAAAGUUGUAUUCCUUACCCAUUUCGUCCGCGGGCUGGGAUUUCCCCUCCACCCAUUUGUCUGUGGGCUCAUGUUCUACUACGGGCUGGACUUCCACGAUCUGGCCCCCAAUUUCAUACUCACCAUCUUGGCGUUUAUCGUCGUGUGCGAGGCCUUCCUCCGCAUCAAGCCCCACUUCGGCCUGUGGCUAAAGACCUUCAACGUUAAACCGAAGGUGGUGGUCGGCCAGCAAGCGGAGUGCGGAGGCGCCAUGGUGGGCAAAAUGCCCAACGUUACCUGGCUCGAAGGCUCCUAUGUGGAGACCGUGAAGGGGUGGCAAUCGGGGUGGUUCUAUAUCACCGAGCCGUGUGACACCAACUGGGUGGCGGCCCCCGAAUUUUGAUCCGGCAUCCCCAUGCGGCUCACCUCCUGGAAAGAGAAGGGCAUAUCCUGGGGUUCAUCGGUGGAGCUGACCGGACUCCAGAACUGUGUUAAAAACAUGAUAAGCAAAAAAUCAAGCUUGUCAACGUGGUCCAGGUCAUGCUCUUCCGCCGGAUCCUCCCGUGUCAAAGACAUACAUUCAAUAUGUGGGAGUUCGACCUGGCUAAGCACCAGACGCUACGAGAGCUCUUCAACACGACACACCAGGACAUCUGGAAGGUGCUAUUCAAGUCCACCGAGGUACCUCCUCCCCUUAUUGAGGAUCGCGGACUAAGUGCAAAGCGCCCUACCAAUCCGGUAAUCUUCUUAUAUCUCAUAAGAUGUUUCUUUCCCCAGUAUAAUCAUGCGGGGGAUCUAAACCUCCAUGCCAUUUAAUAGGAGUGGGUCGCGACAGCGGAGCGGAUCGGUUGUCCAGCCCCACUGCCCGAGGAUCCAGCAAGGGCUCUCUUAAUGGAGAUGCUGGUUCCGGCGCCCUAUGAGGCGCCGGAGAAGAAGGCUAAGGAGAAGGCCACGGGGACCAGGAAAGGUCUCCGGCGCAAGGUUGUAUCAGACUCAUUGUCCGAUAACACCAAGGCACCCUCCUCCCAUGAAAACGAGGAGGAGGAAGAGGAAAGUCCCCCCCCCCCAGCCGGGGGAGACAAGAAAAGGAAGGCCGCCCCGUCAGGGGAGGCCGAAGGGUCCAAGAAGGGAAGGACUCUCCUUCCGGACUACUCCACGGCGGCCGCUUUUAGCGACGAGGAGUGGUUACCCAGGGACAAGCCCCUGGCGAAGUCGUAAGUAUCCGGAUACCAUAAUAGUUCUUAGUAUGUUUUAUGUUAUUGCUUCUUAUCAUGCCGAACAUGACCAUGCAGCCCAUCCAAAGCCCAUAUCGACGUAUCCUCUUCGGAUGAGUCUUUGGGACUGUCGGAGAUGAACAACAAUUCACUCCCGACCGCCUCCUCCCCCCGUCCUACGGACGAUGUCGAGGUGUUGUCUCAAAGGGUACUGAACCAAGGGGAGACAGUUCCGGAGGCGCCCCAAGGCGACAUUCCGGACGCUGGGCGCACGAGGGGCAAGACUCCCAUGGGUUCUAAUGCCAGGGGCAGCAAGUCUAGCCCCCAGCCGAAUACUGCACCGGAACCUCCAGUGGUUCUGAAUUCUGUCAGGCGACCUCUCGCCAAGGGGGGCAAGCCGUCUGUGCCGAUGGCCUCUGUCCAUCCAGAGGCAUCGGACAAUUUGCUGGAAGCGCUUCGUGGCGCUUCCAUUGACGAAGAGCACCGCACUAUCAUGAGUGCGGUGGUCAAGAAGGUUCGGUCCGCCAAAAGCGGACUGACUGAAGCCUGUGCCAGCCUCCUAACAGGCUUUGAGGUAAGUAAUCAAAUCAUGAGAAAAUGUUACAUCAUAGACAGUAGCCCCUGAUGCUCUGUUUGGUGUUCAGAAAGAAAGGCUGAACGGAGGAUCAAAUAAUAAUCAUAGGAGUCUAAUCAGAAUAUGUCUAUGUGAAUAAGCAGGCUUCACUGCUGGCCGCUACCGCUCACACGGUGGAGGUCUCCGCACUGAAGCGGGACCUUGAGCGGUCCGAGGAAGAGCUCGGCCUUACCAAGAGGCAGCUCGAAGAGAAAAAAGGUAAGCAAUACCUUGUCUGUUUAUUGAUAAAGAAAAAGGAAACUGGUUGUUAGAUCACAGGAUCGUCAUGAAUUUUGCUAGGGGCCACAACCGAAGUGGCGGCCCUAAAGAAGGCACUGUCCGAGGCCGAAGGCAAAGCGGCCAAGGAGCGCACCGAGCGUGAAAAGAAAGAGGCCCGAGUCGGCGAGGUUCAGCAAGAGCUCCAGGAGUUUUUCAAGAAGUACGAGUACUUGGAGCGUGACUCUAAUACGCAAGGGUCCGAGCUUGUGAAGGCCCUCGAGAACGCACAAAAUGCCAAGGCCGAAGCCCAAAAGGCCCUCCAGGAAAUUGAGGCGGUCAGGAAGAUAGCGGCGGGUAAGGCAUUCAUUAUGCAAAGCAAGCAUGUGAAGGAAACUUUCCUUUUACUUACCCAAAUUCGGAGCUCUCCAGGAGCGUUCACAGAUCUACCCAGCAGUGUGUCGGAUGCCGCAUAGUUCUACCAGGCCGAGGAAGGGAGCUCGACGAAGAAGUUGUUCUGGUCUCAGUAUACUGGGACCGAACAUCCGAUGCCCUUGAGCGACCAGUUGAAGCAACUGGUCGAGCUUCACAAGGCGUCCUAACUGGCCAUGAAGGGCCUCAUAGUCCAGAUGUGGCCUGGCGAGCCCCUGCAUGGCAGCUAUUUCGGCCUGGUAAGGCAGCUUGUGAACGUCUGCCCCCGGUUUGAAGUCAUAAAGCGGUCCGUCUGCAUUGAUGGUGCGCGCAUGGCUUUUGCCCGGGCGAAAGUGCAUUGGGCGAAGAUGGACGCCGAAAUGCUAGUGAAGGAGGGGCCGCCGGAGGGCAAGGAGCAUCGCCACCCCGAAAAGUAUUAUGACAGUGUCCUGAAGGGUGCUCACCUUAUGGCAGAGCAAUGUGCUAAGGAUGUAAUAUUUAAAUGAAUGUACUCAUGUGAUCCUGUAAUGUGAAACGAGUUCAUGUGCGCUAUGUAACGCUUGUUAAUUUAAAAUAUUACCUUCUGUGCAGCCGUUUAUAAAAUUGGAGAGUUGACCAGUCGUCGGCUUCUGCCCCAUGUAACUAGUACUGAGGUGUUCGGGAUAAACCUGAUCACUCUUUAUCCCAGUUUUGGGUCCUUCGAAGGAGGUGUUCAGCACAACAAACUAGGCAAUCGGACUGUAAAGCUUUAUCACUCUCACUUAGCCAUAGAAGUCUACAAUUUUAAAUUUUGGGGAAGCCCCUAGUAUUCGGAAGGCCGAACUUGGGGCGCUAUGUACGCCUAAAUCGGACAAGGCCGACUCCUCGCCCGAAGCGGAAAAAAUCUUUAAGGAUUUGAGACCUCUCGAACAGCGACCAACUCUCGCCGCAUCAUGACAGUCAGUUUUUGGCUUUCUCUACUGAGGUGCUCAUCCGGAAGAACCGGGACACAAUUGCAGUAGUUCUCCCAGUGCUACCUUAGCUGAUAUAGCAGAACGUAAGGUACCAAAACAUGGGAGCCGAGCAAACCCAACUAUUGACCCAAGACAUGAUUCAGAGCUGAUGCACAUAAUGCUAUAAGUUCGGGGUGCCACACUAUCGAAAGUGUUCAGACUUUUCAUGCCAUGUUAUGGGGUACACUGAAGCCCCUGGCGCACUGGUCGUAUCAGAAUGUACGAGUGCGAUUUGUCGUAAAUAAGCAGACAGGGAAAAAAGAUAAAGGAAUGCAAUAAUGAGCUGAUGCUGUACGUUGCUAUUUAAAUGAUACGUCAAAGCGUAUGCAUGCAUGUAGUGCAAUAAGUAAAAAAUAGGAUUAUUUGACAUGUCCUAUCCAAGGUCAAUCUGUGUGUGGGUAUGCAAAACAGGUAUGUCGAUCGUCAUUAGAGACCACCUGAGGAUUCCCUUGUACGUCAAAGCUUCUUACUUCCUUGGUGUUUCCUUCCUGUGACGGGUCCGAUAAUCAGACGAUCGGAGAGGGCCUUCAGAGAAUAGGGGCCUGAAAGGAAGAAAAUGUUAAAGGUAUACAUGUCCUAAAGCGGUUGAGCCGCACUAUGGGCCGUGCCAUGGCCGUGCCUCCGCCUAUGCCCAUGGUAUCUUGAGUGUGUAAUUAUGUAUGCGUGGUGCAAAUUUCGCCGCUUGACUGGGACUAGGACGGAGGCCGAAUUGCUAGGAGAGCUCUAAAGGUGCCUGACGAUCCUCUUGUAGGGUACUCCGGACUCGCUUAAAGGUGUCCGGGGUCUUUUUCACCGAAUUGGCGGUUUGCCUCAUGAGGCUGCUUUGCGCUUCUGCUGCGAGGGCCGCAGUGUCCUCCUCUGUGCGGAGCAAGCGUUCUAUGUUUACAUUAACUGUUAUAACCCCAUGAGGUCCUGGCAUUUUGAGCUUGAGGUAUGCAUAAUGGUACCACGUUGAAUAUGGCAAAUGCGGUUCGUCUGAGCAGUGCAUGAUAGCCACUGUGGAAGGGGACGAUAUUGAAGAUUAACUCCUCGCUUCGGAAGUUGUCCGGAGAUCCGAAGACCACUUCCAGUGUGAUUGAGCCCGUGCAACAGGCCUCUACACCUGGGAUGGCACCUUUAAAGGUGGUUUUGGUGGGUUUGAUCCUCGAGGGGUCUAUACCCAUUUUACGCACUGUAUCCUGAUAGAGCAGGUUCAGGCUGCUGCCACCGUCCAUAAGGACUCGAGUGAGGUGAAAUCCGUCAAUGAUGGAGUCAAGGACCAAUCCAGCAGAACCGCCAUGACGGAUACUGGUGGGGUGGUCCCUGCGAUCGAAGGUGAUCGGACAAGAAGACCAUGGGUUGAACUUUGGGGCGGCUGGCUCCAUCGCAUAGACGUCCCUCAGUGCAUGCUUCCGUUCNNNNNNNNNNNNNNNNNNNNNNNNNNNNNNNNNNNNNNNNNNNNNNNNNNNNNNNNNNNNNNNNNNNNNNNNNNNNNNNNNNNNNNNNNNNNNNNNNNNNNNNNNNNNNNNNNNNNNNNNNNNNNNNNNNNNNNNNNNNNNNNNNNNNNNNNNNNNNNNNNNNNNNNNNNNNNNNNNNNNNNNNNNNNNNNNNNNNNNNNNNNNNNNNNNNNNNNNNNNNNNNNNNNNNNNNNNNNNNNNNNNNNNNNNNNNNNNNNNNNNNNNNNNNNNNNNNNNNNNNNNNNNNNNNNNNNNNNNNNNNNNNNNNNNNNNNNNNNNNNNNNNNNNNNNNNNNNNNNNUCUUCUGUCCUCCUGUGUUCGGCAGCCGACGCUCCUCCUCGUCGUCGCUAUGCAGCCCCUUUUCCUUGUUUUCGGUGUUCAACCUGCCGGCCUGUUUGAACACCCAACAUUCUCUGUUGGUGUGGUUGGCUGGUUUAUCGGGGGUUCCGUGAAUUUUACACGAAUGAUCGAGUAUGCGGUCCAAGCUGGACGGGCCCGAAUUGCUUCUCUUGAACGCCUUUUUCUGCUGAUCGGAUUUAGAGCCACUGAAUCCGGCAUUAACUGCCGUGUCUUCGGUGUUGUCGCCGUUGUUGCGGCACUUGUGUCUGUUGCGACGUGGCUUGCCGUUGCUAUCUUUGGCAUCUGAAUUGUCAGGAUUUCUUGAUGUGUUGUUAUUGCGAGCCAGCCAGCUGUCCUUGCCCGCACAAAAGCGGGUGGUGAGUGUCGUGAGGGCUACCAUGGACUUCGGCUUUUCAUGGCCGAGGUGUCGGGCGAGCCACUCGUCACGGAUGUUAUGCUUAAAUGCCGCUAAGGCCUCGGCAUUCGGACAGUCGACAAUUUGGUUCUUUUUAGUUAGGAACCGAGUCCGGAAUUUCCUGGCUGAUUCCCCUGGCUGUUGGGUUAUGUGACUCAAGUCAUCAGCAUCCGGUGGUCGCACAUAAGUGCCCUGUAAGUUAUCAAGGAACGCGUCUUCCAAGUUCUCCCAACUGCCAAUGGAGUUUGCCGGCAGGCUAUUCAGCCAAUGCCGAGCCGACCCUUUGAGUUUUAGUGGGAGGUACUUGAUGGCAUGUAGAUCGUCACCGCGGGCCAUGUGGAUGUGGAGGAGGAAAUCUUCAAUCCAUACUGCGGGGUCUGUUGUACCAUCAUAUGAUUCGAUGUUCACGGGUUUAAACCCUUCUGGGAAUUCGUGAUCCAUUACUUCGUCGGUGAAGCAUAGGGGGUGUGCGGCGCCUCUAUGCCGGGCUAUGUCACAAUGUAGUUCAUACGAGUCUUGUCUGCUGUAUUCGGCCCGACCGGAUUUUCUUUUAGUAUAUCCGGCGUGACGGUCGUCGUCAUGCGUUGGGGCGCGCCCCCAUGAUCCGUAGAUCGAUCUUGUAUGUCCUGCUUUGUUUUCCAAUAUGUCUCGCAGGUCCUGCGUGUUGCCCCGGGCCUUGGUGUUUUUGUUUGACUGGCAACAGGGUGCGGGCUGGACUUCAGGCUGAUAUGCCGCUUUGUCUCGGCCACGAGGUGGCCGGUCAGCCGCAUCAUACGCUGGUAGUGUAGGCUUUAAUGCUUCCUCGAGUUGGGGUAGCAACCUGCGCUUUGGGUAACUUUUGGUUGGGUGCUCGAGUUCGUAUUCCUCGGCUCCCAGCAUCUCGGUCCAUCUAUCCGCUAGUAGAUCUUGAUCAGCUUGAAGCUGCUAUUGCUUUUUCUUCAGGAUUUUUGUUGUGGAUAUAAGCCGGCGCUUGAAGCGCUCCUGCUCGACGGGAUCCUGAGGCACGAUAAAUUCUUCAUCGCCGAGGCUGACCUCGUCAUCGGAGAGGGGCAUGUAAUUGUCAUCCUCUGAUUCUCCGUCUGACGCCUGUUCCUUAGGGCUAGCUUUCCCAUCCUCCCGCUCGAAGCCUGGCUGGAGGGGAUUGUCUUCGUCUUCGUCACUAUCCGCAGCGUUAUUGUCUCUUGUGCCGGUAUCGCUGCUUUUGCUAUGGCGGGUCUUAGAGCGGCGCCGAUGAUGCGGUGCUUAGAUUGCUUCUUGAGGGGAUUAUCCUCCAUUGCCUUAUUGCCAUCGCUUUCUUUGGGGGUGUCCACCAUGUAUAUAUCAUAUGAUGAGGUGGCUGUCCAGCGCCCUAUGAGUGGUGGUUCCUGUUCUUCUCCUGCAUCAUCGUCCAUAUCGUCGAUGUCUUCAGAGCCGAAAUCAAGCAUGUCGGUUAAGUCGUCGACAGUGGCUAUUAAGUGGGUGGUGGGUGGGGAAUGAAUUUCUUCGUCGUUCGCUUCCCACUCAAGCCGGACAUAGUUUGGCCAAGGGUCUCCUGACAAGGAGAGAGACCUCAAUGAAUUUAGCAAGUCGCCCAAGGGCGAGUGCUAAAAGAUAUUCGCGGAGGUAAACUCCAUGAUCAUUGCCCAAUCAGAUUCGAUAGGCACGGACGCGGGCGGUUCAGAGCCUGUGGCCGGGGACGAAUCCAAGGAUCCGGCAACACAGGUCUCAUAGGAGGUGAAGUCAGUAUUCGGCUCUAUCGCCGCUGAGUGUGCGGCCUCUAUGGUGGGGUCCAUCCACCCAUCCUCGGAUGGCAUGAUCUGCUCCGGAUUGAAGGCCGAAGUAGCCACAGGUGUGAUCUCCCGAACACCGUCUGGCGGCAGAGCUAAGUCAUGCUCGUCGCGACUGUGCAGCGCACCUGACAUGGGCUUGAAUCCGUCGAAGAUCAAGUCUCCGCGGAUGUCGGCAGUAUAGUUCAAGCUUCCAAACCCGACCUGAUGGCCAGGGGCGUAGCUCUCGAUCUGCUCUAGAUGGCCAAGCGAGUUGGCCCGCAGUACGAAGCCGCCGAAUACGAAGAUCUGUUCGGGGAGAAAAACCUCACCCUGGAUUGCAUCGUUGUCGAUGAUCGAAGGAGCCAUCAAGCCUUAUGGUGACGACACAGUGGAACUCUCAAUGAAAGCACCAAUGUCGAUGUCAAAACCGGUAGAUCUCGGGUAGGGGGUCCCGAACUGUGCGUCUAAGGCGGAUGGUAACAGGAGGCGGGGGACACAAUGUUUACCCAGGUUCGGGCCCUCUCGAUGGAGGUAACACCCUACUUCCUGCUUGAUUGAUCUUGAUGAUAUGAGUAUUACAAGAGUUGAUCUACCACGAGAUCGUAGAGGCUAAACCCUAGAAGCUAGCCUAUGAUUAUGAUUAUUCUUGUCCUACGGACUAAACCCUCCGGUUUAUAUAGACACCGGAGGGGGCUAGGGUUACACAGAGUCAGUUACAAGGGAGGAGAUCUACAUAUCCGAAUUGCCAAGCCUGCCUUCCACGAAAAGGAGAGUCCCACCCAGACACGAGAUGAAGUCUUGUAUCUUCAUAGCCCAACAGUCCGGCCAAAGGAUAUAGUCCGGCUGUCCGAGGACCCCCUAAUCUAGGACUCCCUCAAGCAUCGCUACGGGUGAGAAGGUCUCAUCGUAGUCAACUCCUUGAACUUGUCGAAAACCUUUCGCAACAAGUCGAGCUUUGUAGACAGUAACAUUACCAUCAGCGUCUGUCUUCUUGAAGAUCCAUUUAUUCUCGAUGGCUUGCCGAUCAUCGGGCAAGUCAACCAAAGUCCACACUUUGUUCUCAUACAUGGAUCCCAUAUUAGAUUUCAUGGCCUCAAGCCAUUUUGCGGAAUCUGGGCUCAUCAUCGCUUCCUCAUAGUUCGUAGGUUCAUCAUGGUCUAGUAACAUGACCUCCAAAACAGGAUUACCGUACCACUCUGGUGCGGAUCUUACUCUGGUUGACCUACGAGGCUCGGUAGUAACUUGAUCUGAAGUUUCAUGAUCAUCAUCAUUAGCUUCCUCACUAAUUGGUGUAGGUGUCACAAAAACCGGUUUCUGUGAUGAACUACUUUCCAAUAAGGGAGCAGGUACAGUUACCUCAUCAAGUUCUACUUUCCUCCCACUCACUUCUUUCGAGAGAAACUCCUGCUCUAGAAAGGAUCCAUUCUUAGCAACAAAAGUCUUGCCUUCGGAUCUGUGAUAGAAGGUGUACCCAACUGUCUCUUUUGGGUAUCCUAUGAAGACACAUUUCUCCGAUUUGGGUUCGAGCUUAUCAGGUUGAAACUUUUUCACAUAAGCAUCGCAGCCCCAAACUUUAAGAAAUGACAACUUUGGUUUCUUGCCAAACCACAGUUCAUAAGGAGUCGUCUCAACGGAUUUAGAUGGUGCCCUAUUUAACGUGAAUGCAGCCGUCUCUAAAGCAUAACCCCAAAAUGAUAGCGGUAAAUCAGUAAGAGACAUCAUAGAUCGCACCAUAUCUAGUAAAGUACGAUUACGAUGUUCGGACACACCAUUACGCUGUGGUGUUCCAGGUGGCGUGAGUUGUGCAACUAUUCCGCAUUGUUUCAAAUAAAGACCAAACUCGUAACUCAAAUAUUCUCCUCCACGAUCAGAUCAUAGAAACUUUAUUUUCUUGUUAUGAUGAUUUUCCACUUCACUAUGAAAUUCUUUGAACUUUUCAAAUGUUUCAGACUUAUGUUUCAUCAAGUAGAUAUACCCAUAUCUGCUCAAAUCUUCUGUGAAGGUGAGAAAAUAAUGAUACACGCCGCAAGCAUCAAUAUUCAUCGGACCACAUACAUCAGUAUGUAUGAUUUCCAACAAAUCUGUUGUGUGACACCCCAAAAAUUUGGCCUUGUUUUAAUGAAUUAAUUUUUUUUUGCCAGGAAUUAAAACUUUGAAUUUCUGAGCUCCAUUUUUAUUUUUAAAUCAUUUCCUUCCCUGUUAUGAUGAGUUUUUCCCAGAGAGAAAACUUUCCAAAUAUGUCAUUGGACUUAUUUAAUCUGUCAAGAGAAACUUUCCCUUAUUUAAUAUAACUAAUUAAAUAAUUAAGUUGCUUGAUCUUUACUUUCUUGAAAAUGGUUUUUCAAGGUUAUAUGGCCAUAUUUGAACUAUAACCAUUGGAUAAAUUCACCUAAAAUUCUAACCAAAAAUUGGAGAUGUCAUGUGUUGUUUUUAAAUCACUUUUAUACUAAAAUAUCUUUUAUUUAUGUAAUAUUUUGAGCUCUGCAUCAAUUUUUCCUUCUCUGGUCCAGAGUGCAAUUUGCACUACAACCCUUUUAAAUAAUUCUUUAUAGCCUCCACCAAAAUUAUGGGAUAUUGGUAGUAGCAUAUGAUUCAACAUUAUGCAAAAACCUAGUGCUGUUCUUUGAAAAUUUUGAGUCAAUCAACCUCUUUUUCAUUCUGGUCCAGCCUUGUGAUUUCUACUGCAACCCUAUUUAAUUUUGCUCCAAAGAUCUUGUGUUUUCUCCUAAUUGUAGACAGCCCUACCAAACCCCUAAAUCCAGGAGCAUGCACCCAUUGGAUUAAUUUUGGUUCAUGAAAUAAUGUCAUUUAUUUCCUGUCCAGAAUUGUAGUUUUGCAAAACUUGCACUAACAAGUUUGUGCUUUUCACAAACUAACCUCACCACUCUCUCUUGCAUCUAAGGAGACCCUGAUCUGGAGGAUUUGGCCACCCCCAAGAAGAGCCUAGGUGCCUGUGGCAUUUUGUCAAACACCUGGAGAGCAUAGCCAGAUUUGGCAUGGAUUCAAGUUUACACUGUGAACUUGGUCGCCUGACCUAACAACCAUGCCCAUUCACCCUCUAUAUAACCCUAACCCAGCCCUGUUUCUUCCCAGCCUCAACCGCGACCUCUAGCAUGCCCUGGCAUUACGUCGAGCACGUCCCGUGCACGCCCGGAGCGCGAGCAGAGCGUGCGUUUGGCACGCGUUUUGCACGUGCCGCGCCCGAGCCGACGCGUCGCGCCCCUGGCCUUGCCUCCACUGCAGAGCCACGCCACGCACGUCCCUCCUCACCGCAACACGCCAAGCCGCCCCUCGCCACGUCCCCGACAGGCCAGGAGCUAGCCGCCACGGUCGCCGACAGCCCCUGCUCCGUUCAGCGCCGCCCAAGCCUCUUCCGCUCGCCACCUGGCCCCUGGAACAGCGCGAGCUCAUCCACGAGUGUGUCCGCUAGCGCUCGUUGCCGCCACGACGCCCUAGCUACAGAAUGGCGGUCGCCGGCGACCUUAUCCGCAGCCGCCGCAGAACCGCCUUGCCACGCCUAUAAAAGGAGGCCCCGAGCUUCCCCGAGCACGCAGGCAACCUCAGGCCACCCCAAUGGCGCUCCCCUACCCCACAUUCGACCCGGGGAGGCCUCCUUCCUCAUCUCCGGCAACUCCUGCCGCCGCCAUCGCCCCGGCCAAUCCGGCACCUCCAGUACCUCCCCCUCUCCGUUCGCUUCGCCAGGAACCUCCUCAUCCUCCCGUGAAACUAUCCACCUACUCAAUUUUGAUCGGGAACCACCGCAGCCCCAAUAUCACUUUGCCCCCGAAACCAUCUCCGCCGCGAAGCUCAUCGCCGGCAACUCCGUCCACGUCGGCGACCAUAGCGGGUACCCCCGAGUUCGUCUCGACCUCCUGAGCACGCCCAUGCACUCAGAUCACCGAGGGACGCUGCCAUUCGCCGGUGAGCCUCGCCGGAGCUCCGCCCCUGUUCGGUCAGGGGGAGACGACGCGCGCGUGGGCCAGUCAAACCUGACCAGUGGGCCAGGCGGGCCCACUGUCGGUGACUCACGCGGCAGCCACGCUGGAUAAGUGGAGGCGUAAAAGGCGCAAAUACGUCUUCUCUGUCCGAAAGCGUAAUCUCUUUUGAAACGUUUUCUUUUUCCUGAUUUUAUUAAAAACAGAUUUUUACCACAACUUUGACUGCCUAUAAUUUGUUAAAUAUAACUCCAAAUGAGUUGAUUCUUUUUCCUACCUUCCUCAAAUUUGGUCUAGUUUAUUUUAAGUUUUAUUUGAAAAUUUUCCAAACAACUUUUUGUACUGUUUUUGAAAUAUGUGUUCUUUGCAUAUUUUUGGAAAUAGGAUUUUUUGGGAGAGAAGGAAGCUUUCAAAAAAAAUUUGGAGAGCACCCCACCUCUCCACACCAUUAAAGGCAAGCAUUUUGAACCCUGGCAUAAUGUUUUGGUGUGUUAUUUGACACGUUUAUAACACCAUCUUAUUUCAGAGGACUUGUUAUUUUAUGUGACAUGAUCAUUUGCAUGGAAGCAUAUUAGUGAUUUCCUUGCUGUUGGAAAUGAAUAUAAAUGUGAUGGUAAUCAACCUCAUGUGCCUUGCAUGCAUGCCGGAAAGGAAUCCGGGAAAGCCUCGGCCUUGGGUAGGCGUGAGCUUAUCGCCGGUCCCCGUCAGGACGGUUAUGUCCGGUAUGGCAUGGUAAGGUAUAUUGAGUUGUGCUUUUGUUGAUUGAAAUAUAUGUGUUUACAUGUCUUGCAGGGAACUUAUAAACCUCCUGAGUCGACCGUAGACCGAGUCUUGUUUCCAGUAACCCCCAUACUUGAUAUGUACCCCCACUUGUCCCUGCCGCAGGUAGGGUAUGGUUCAGUAAGUCGUCAACCCCUUUCAAGCACACACCGUACAGAGAGGCCAUGGUGGAAGAUAUCGGUUGUAGCCGGUAGGCAUGCCACCUGGUCUGGGGGCAUGGGUGUUUCCGGUUGAGACCGAGAGGGGAGGCCACCCCUUAGAGCGCGCGAUAUAAAUUUGAUCCCAUGCUACGCGAGGUUGUAGCCUCCCCACUUAGAGUUUUGCUUAACAAGUGUCGUGGGUGAUUCCAGACACCGAUGAGUUAAGCUGGUGUGUGCAAAUUAGGCGUGUUUUCAACUAAAAGGCCGUAGACGGAAUUAGCCCCGAUGGACUAAAGGAAUCCGUUACUCGUGGGUAAAGAGUACACCCUCUGCAGAGAUUAAAACCUAUUCGAAUAGCCGUGUCCAUGGUUAAGGAUUACAGUCCGGGAUGGGUCAAGCGUUGGUCUUAGUGUCGGUCUUCGGAGGAGAGAUUAUUAAACCAGAACUUGGACCGUGACUUGUGACUUGUGAAGAUUAUGAUUAUUAUCUUGUGAUGGACUAACCCGUUGCAUUAUUUAUAUUAUCGAGUAUCCCUGGACGGUUCUACCUCCUGGAUAUUCAUUGUGAUUAUUUAUCUUGUAAGCCCUUUAUGUGGUGUCGCUCAGACGCCCGACUGUGGCAUUUCUUUUAAAGCCCUUUAUGUGGUGUCGCUCAGACGCCCGAUUGUGGCAUUUCUUUUAAAGCCCUUUAUGUGGUGUCGCUCAGACGCCCGACUGUGGCAUUUCUUUUAAAGCCCUUUAUGUGGUGUCGCUCAGACACCCGACUGUGGCAUUUCUUUUAAAGCCCUUUAUGUGGUGUCGCUCAGACGCCCGACUGUGGCAUUUCUUUUAAAGCCCUUUAUGUGGUGUCGCUCAGACACCCGACUGUGGCAUUUCUUUUAAGGCCCUUUAUGUGUCGCUCAGACGCCCGACUGCGGCAUUUUAUUCCCACUCUAUUACUGCUUAUUCAUGUUGCAUGAUAAUAACCUGCUUGCAUGCAUAAAAGAUGUUUUAUUUAUGACUGGCGAUGUGAUCAUAGAAUUUUUUUUCAGUGCAUGAUUAUCAAUUAUAUUAUACCUGUGUUCUAAAUGUUUGCGAGUACAUUCAAAGUACUCACUGGCUUGUCCCUGGCUAUCGUCUUGGCUAGAUUUCUGCUUGGAGAGGAGCGGGACGAUGACAACCUUGAGUCCUAAGCAACGGUGAUAGCAGCCUCGCGAAGAUAGGAGUUAACCUGGUCAGCUGUUCCUGUGGGAAAUGGAGUCCCAUAGACACUUAUGUCUCACAAACCGCUUCCGUCAUCAACCACUAGAAACCCAAUUGUUGUACUCACAGGCCAGAAUGGUCUUGUACUACAUAUUUUGUAUUUUGCUUGAGAUUUCUGUAUCAAGCUGGAGCCUCAUCAGCUAACAGUAAUCCUGGGGCUGAUGAGCACGACGGUCUUUUUCUGGAAAUUUAUACCCGGAAAAACCCGGUCGUGACAUGUUGCUCGCUCCAUAGUUCCGGAGAACGGCGUUUUAGUCAUCUUGCCCAUGAGGCACGGUUCGCAAGUACCAAGUGAUUCACAAUCAAGUGAUUCCAAAAGUCCAUUAGAAUGGAGUUUCUUCAUGCGCUUUAUACCAAUAUGACCUAAAUGGCAGUGCCACAAAUAAGUUGCACUAUCAUUAUCAACUCUGCAUCUUUUAGCUUCAAUACUAUGAAUAUGUGUAUCUCCACUAUCGAGAUUCAAAAAGAAUAGACCACUCUUUAGGAGUGCAUGACCAUAAAAGAUAUUAUUCAUAUAAAUAGAACAACCAUUAUUCUCUGAUUUAAAUGAAUAACCGUCUCGCAUCAAACAAGAUCCAGAUAUAAUGUUCAUUCUUAAUGCUGGCACCAAAUAACAAUUAUUCAGGUCUAAUACUAAUCCCGAAGGUAGAUGUAGAGGUAGCGUGCCGACUGCGAUCACAUCGACUUUGGAACCAUUUCCCACGCGCAUCGUCACCUCGUCCUUUGCCAAUCUUUGCUUAAUCCAUAGUCCCGGUUUCGAGUUGCAAAUAUUAGCAACAGAAUCAGUAUCAAAUACCCAGGCACUACUGCGAGAAUUAGUAAGGUACACAUCAAUAACAUGUAUAUCACAUAUACCUUUGUUCACGUUGCCAUCCUUCUUAUCCGGCAAAUACUUGGGGUAGUUCCUCUUCCAGUGACCAGUCUGUUUGCAGUAGAAGCACUCAGUCUCAGGCUUAGGUCCAGACUUGGGUUUCUUCUCUUGAGCAGCAACUUGUUUGCCGUUCUUCUUGAAGUUCCCUUUCUUCUUCCCUUUACCCUUUUUCUUGAAACUAGUGGUCUUGUUAACCAUCAACACUUGAUGCUCCUUCUUGAUUUCUACCUCCGCAGACUUUAGCAUUGCGAAGAGCUCGGGAAUAGUUUUAUUCAUCCCUUGCAUGUUAUAGUUCAUCACGAAGCUCUUGUAGCUUGGUGGCAGUGAUUGAAGAACUCUGUCAAUGACACUAUCAAGAUGAAGAUUAACUCCUAGUUGAGUCAAGUGGUUAUGGUACCCAGACAUUCUGAGUAUAUGUUCACUGACAAAACUAUUCUCCUCCAUCUUGCAGCUGUAUAACUUAUUGGAGACUUUAUAUCUCUCAAUCCGGGCAUUUGCUUGAAAUAUUAAUUUCAACUCCUAGAACAUCGCAUAUGCUCCAUGACGUUCAAAACGUCGUUGAAGUCCCGGUUCUAAGCCGUAAAGCAUGGCACACUGAACUAUCGAGUAGUCAUCAGCUUUGCUCUGCCAGACGUUCAUAACAUCUGGUGUUGCUCCUGCAGCAGGUUUGGCACUUAGCGGUGCUUCCAGGACGUAAUUCUUCUGUGCAGCAAUGAGGAUAAUCCUCAAGUUACGGACCCAGUCUGUGUAAUUGCUACCAUCAUCUUUCAACUUUGCUUUCUCAAGGAACGCAUUAAAAUUUAACGAAACAAUAGCACGGGCCAUCUAUCUACAACAAUAUAGACAUGCAAAAUACUAUUAGGUACUAAGUUCAUGAUAAAUUAAUGUUCAGUUAAUCAAAUUAUUAAAGAACUCCCAGUUAGAUAGACAUCCCUCUAAUCAUCUAAGUGAUCACGUGAUCCAUAUCAACUAAACCAUGUCCGAUCAUCACGUUAGAUGGAGUAGUUUUCAAUGGUGAACAUCAAUAUGUUGAUCAUAUCUUCUAUAUGAUUCACGCUCGACCUUUCGGUCUCCAGUGUUCCGAGGCCAUAUCUGCAUAUGCUAGGCUCGUCAAAUUUAACCCGAGUAUUCUACAUGUGCAAAACUGGCUUGCACCCGUUGUAUGUGAACGUAGAGCUUAUCACACCCGAUCAUCACGUGGUGUCUUGGCCCGACGAACUAUCGCAACAAUGCAUACUCAGGGAGAACACUUGUACCUUGAAAUUUAGUGAGAGAUCAUCUUAUAAUGCUACGGUCGAUCUAAGAAAAAUAAGAUGCAUAAAAGAUAAACAUCACAUGCAAUCAAUAUAAGUGAUAUGAUAUGGCCAUCAUCAUCUUGUGCUUGUGAUCUCCAUCUCUGAAGAACCGUCAUGAUCACCAUCGUCACCGGCGCGACACCUUGAUCUCCAUCGUAGCAUCAUUGUCGUCUCGCCAAAUAUUGCUUCUACGACUAUAGCUACCGCUUAGUGAUAAAGUGAAGCCAUUAUAGGGCGAUUGCAUUGCAUAUAAUAAAGCAACAACCAUAUGGCUCCUGCCAGUUUCCGAUAACUCGGUUACAAAACAUGAUCAUCUCAUACAACAAAAUAUAGUAUCAUGUCUUGACCAUAUCACAUCACAACAUGCCCUGCAAAAACAAGUUAGACGUCCUCUACUUUGUUGUUGCAAGUUUUACGUGGUUGCUAUGGGCUGAGCAAGAACCGUUCUUACCUACGCAUCAAAACCACAACGAUAGUUUGUCAAGUUAGUGAUGUUUUAACCUUCUCAAGGACCGGGCGUAGCCACACUCGAUUCAACUAAACUUGGAGAAACUGACACCCACCAGCCACCUGUGUGCAAAGCACGUCGGUAGAACCAGUCUCGCAUAAGCAUACGCGUAAUGUCGGUACGGGCCGCUUCAUCCAACAAUACCGCCGAACCAAAGUAUGAUAUGCUGGUAAGCAGUAUGACUUGUAUCGCCCACAACUCACUUGUGUUCUACUCGUGCAUACAACAUCUACGCAUAAACAGUCUCGGAUGCCACUGUUGGGGAACAUAGUAAUUUCAAAAAAAUUCCUACGCACAAGCAAGAUCAUGGUUAUGCAUAGAAAUGAGAGGGAACAGUAUCAUCCACGUACCCUCGUAGACUGUAAGCGGAAGCGUUAUGAGAACACGGUUGAUGUAGUCGGGCAUCUUCACGAUCCGACCGAUCCAAGUACCGAACGCACGACACCUCCGAGUUCAGCACACGUUCAUCUCGAUGACGUCCCACGAACUUCGAUCCAGCAGAGCUUCACGGGAGAGUUCCGUCAGCACGACGGCGUGUUGACGCUGAUGAUGUUGCUACCGACGCAGGGCUUCGCCUAAGCACCACUACGAUAUGAUCGAUGUGGAUUAUGGUGGAGGGGGCACUGCACACGUCUAAGGGAUCAAUGAUCAACUUGUGUGUCUAGAGGUGCCCCCUGCCCCCGUAUAUAAAGGAGCAAGGGGGGAGGCCGGCCGGCCCUCUAUGGCGCGCCAGGAGGAGGAGUCCUCCUCCUAGUAGGAGUAGGACUCCCCUCUUUCCUACUCCUACUAGGAGGGGGAAAGUAAGGGGGAGAGGGAGAAGGAAAGGUGUGCGCCGCCCCUCCUCUCCUAGUCCAAUUUGGACCAGAGGGGGAGGGGCGCGCGGCCUGCCCUAGGCCAGCCCUCUCUCUCUCCACUAAGGCCCAUAAGGCCCAUUAUUUCUCCCGGGGGGGGGGGGGGUUCCGGUAACCCUCCGACACUCCGGUUUUCUCCGAAAUCACCCGAAACACUUCCAGUGUCCGAAUAUAGUCGUCCAAUAUAUCGAUCUUUAAUUCUUUACGUCUCGACCAUUUCGAGACUCCUCGUCAUAUCCGUGAUCAUAUCCGGGACUCCGAACUACCUUCGGUACAUCAAAACACAAAAACUCAUAAUACCGAUCGUCACCGAACUUUAAGCGUGCGGACCCUACAGGUUCAAGAACUAUGUAGACAUGACCGAGACACGUCUCCGGUCAAUAACCAAUAGCGGAACCUGGAUGUUCAUAUUGGCUCCCACAUAUUCUACGAAGAUCUUUAUCGGUCAAACCGCAUAACAACAUACGUUGUUCCCUUUGUCAUCGAUAUGUUACUUGCCUGAGAUUCAAUCGUCGGUAUCUCAAUACCUAGUUCAAUCUCGUUACCGGCAAGUCUCUUUACUCGUUCUCUAAUGCAUCAUCCCGCAACUAACUCAUUAGUUAUAAUGCUUGCAAGGCUUAUAGUGAUGUGCAUUACCGAGUGAGCCCAGAGGUACCUCUCCGAUAAUCGGAGUGACAAAUCCUAAUCUUGAUCUAUGCCAACUCAACAAGUACCAUUGGAGACACCUGUAGAGCACCUUUAUAAUCACCCAGUUAUGUUGUGACAUUUGGUAGCACACAAAGUGUUCCUCUGGUAAUCGGGAGUUACAUAAUCUCAUAGUCAUAGGAACAUGUAUAAGUCAUGAAGAAAGCAAUAGCAGUAAACUAAAAUGAUCAAGUGCUAAGCUAAUUGAAUGGGUCAAGUCAAUCAUAUCAUUCUCCUAAUGAUGUGAUCCCAUUAAUCAAAUGACAACUCAUGUCUAUGGUUAGGAAACUUAACCAUCUUUGAUUAAUGAGCUAGUCAAGUAGAGGCAUACUAGUGACACUCUGUUUGUCUAUGUAUUCACACAUGUACUAAGUUUCCGGUUAAUACAGUUCUAGAAUGAAUAGUAAACAUUUAUCAUGAUAUGAGGAAAUAAAUAAUAACUUUAUUAUAGCCUCUAGGACAUAUUUCCUUCAGUAUCUUCACAACCCAUCAGUCUGGCCCAUAGCCAACAGGCCGGACGCCCGAGGACCCCUUAAUCCAGGACUCCCUCAGUAGCCCCUGAACCUAGCUUCAAUGACAAGGUAUCCGUCGCGUAGUGCUGUCUUCGGCAUUGCAAGGCGGGUUCCUCCUUCUGAACUCCAAAAUAGUCUUCGGACGAAUUGAUCGUGUCCGGACCUGUAACACACACCACACACAAUCGUAGAGAGAAUAUAAUAAUACACAUGUCCAAUCUGCUGACAACUUUCACAACAUGACAUCACGUCCAUCCGGUCAUAAUUCCGAACCAUUUUUUGCCUGCCGCUCCACGUUUCGAGACACGGUUACCAUUGACACAUCUUGUCAAAGUAGAGAUCGUGUUCCCUUAUUACGGGAUUCGCAUCAAUAUAGGCGUGGGUAACCCAACCGUGCCAUUUACACAACCCUUGGGAGCAGGCGAAUUUUGAGGCAAGUGGGGUGGCGUUCAAUAUUCACUGCCCUUAUAAGGAGAUAAGAUUCCCCCUUCUUCUCCCACGCCUUCUUCCUGCCUUUCCACUCUUGAGCUCCAGUACCCAAGUCCUCAUCCGUUUCCCACUCAAGAAAGCGCUCAACCAUGUCCGGAUCCGGAGGUCAAGGCAAGUGGAUGGCUUGCUCCGUCAGGGAGGAGGACAUCGCUGAGCUUCGGGCGGCCGAAAACCUAGCGAAGGAAAUCGCCCGCCUUCUUCCAGCCCAGGGACAAAUCAUUCCCACACCAAAGCCCGCCGAGAGGGUAGUGUUUCUCCCCCAUUUCCCCCGCGGGCUAGGGUUUCCACUCCACCCCUUCGUCCACAGGAUAAUGUUCUAUUAUGGGAUAGACUUCCACGAUCUAUCCUCGAACUCCUUCCUCAAUAUCUCGGCAUUUAUCGUCAUGUGCGAGGCCUUCCUCCACAUCCAACCCCACUUCGGGCUAUGGCUUAAAACCUUUAACGUGAAGCCCAAGGUGGUGGAUGGACAGCACGCAGAGUGCGGGGGCUCCAUGGUGAGAAAGCUUGCCAAUGUUCCUUGGCCAAAAGGCACAUUCAUGGAGUCUAUCAAGGAAUGGCAGAAACAAUGGUUCUAUAUCAUUGAACCCCGCGGUGCCACCUGGGCCGCGGCUGCCGCAUUCAACUCCGGCGCUCUCGUGCGAAUCACCUCCUGGGUCAAGAAGAGCCCGAAUUGGUGUUCGUCAGAUGAGCUGACCGCGCUACAAACACGCAUUCAAAGCAUGAUCGAUAAGGACAUCAAGCUUGUUGACGUAAUCCAAGUGAUGCUGGUGCGCCGGAUCCUCCCCUGUCAGAGCCGAAGCCGCCCACUAUGGGAUUUCAACCCGAAAAAGCACCACACCUUGGAAAGGCUCUUUGAAACAGAUCAUGAAGAUGCCUGGAAGUUGCUCUUCAAGGGAAACGAGAUACCGCCAGCCACAGAUUCGGACCCUCAUCACAACAUAAAUCACCUCCCCAACAAGGUAUGUUAUUUUCAACACAUCCCUUACUUGCUUGUUUCAAGGGUGACAUCUAAGCUUUUAUUAUCAUUGCUUUUUUAGUACUUGUUGAAGAAGGCGAAGCAGAUCCGGUGUCCGGCUCCCGUGCCUGAAGAACUAGUCAUCCCGCAUUUAGCAAAGAUGAUGGAGCCAACGCCUUAUAAGGCACCAGAAAAGAAGGCCACAAGAAAGGCCAAGGGGGUCCGGAGUGGACCCCGCCGCCGGGGUGCUUCGGACGCGACAUCUGAAGAUAAGACCCGCUCCUCCACCACAGAAGACGGCGACGAGGAAGAGGAGGGGAAGAACAAUCCUCCCCUAGAUGAGGGGAGGAAGAAAAGGGCGGCCUCGGCGAAUCUGGAGGCGGAGACAUCCAAGAAAGGGAAGAGGUCCCUUGCGGGUAACACCGCGUGGGACGCCGACAGUAGUCCGGAGAGACAUCCCCAUACUAAGCCACGGGCCGCAUUGUAAGUGCUCAAACCCAUAUCCACUCAUGAACCAAGUCUUUCCUCUUCGUUGUAUUUGAGAUGAUUGGUUAUAUUUUAUUGUAGUCCGGCCCACAACAACUCCCUGCGAUCCUCGCCAGGAGGCUCGCUGGAUUCCAAGGCGAUGGCCAGCAAUUCGCCGCCAGCCGCUCACUCCCCCAAGGCCAAGGAUGAUGUGGAUGUGCUGUCCCAAGGACGGUUCCAGGCGGGGGAGAGGCUCCGGAGGUGCCAGAAGGCAAAAACCCCGUCGCCGGACACCAAGGGGAAUCAAUUCCCAUGGAGGCUGGUGGGAAGGACCGAACUUAGUUUGACCCUCAGCCAGACUCAAUUCCAGAGACCGAGACUGCUCUGGAAUCCGGUACGCGACCUCCUUCGGAAGGAGGGGGAUGUCCGUUCCCCUGGUGACCCCUGUCCAACUAGGGGCACCGGAUAAUCUGCUGGAAGCACUGCGAGGCGCUUCCAUUGUGGAUGAACACCGUGUCCUCAUGGGCACGGUAAUUGAGCGGGUUCAGUCCGCCAAGAGUUGACUAACCAAAGCCUGCAGCAGCCUGUUAACAGGUUUUGAGGUAAGCGGCACAAAAAAGGAGAAAGUCCCAAUAUAGACAGUAGCCCUUGAUACACUGUCUGGUGUUCGAAAAGAAAAAACCGGAGAGAGGAUCAAUCUCCUAUUUUCAGAAACUAACGAUAUCUGCCUGAAAUGUAUGCGCAGGCAUCACUGUUGGCCGCGUCCUCGCGUACUACCGAAUUCUACUGAAGCAGAAACUGGCGGAGGCCGAGGAGGAGCUGGGCCGGGUGAAGAGGCAGCUCCAAGAAAAACAAGGUAAGUAAUAACCCGUUUUGAAUUCGAAAAAAGGUGGGAAAUGAUAUACAAUGAUCAAAAUAUCAUGAUGUGAACAGAGGCGACGACCGAGGUCGAGGCCCUGAAAGUGGCCCUGGUCGAAGCCGAAGGGAAGGCUGUCAAGGAGCAGGCCACCCGUAAGAGGCUCAAGGCCCGGGUCAACGAAGUCCAACAGGAGCUCCAGGAUGCGGUGGGGAAGUGCGAGACCUUGGAGCACAAUGCGUUGGCUCAAGAGGCCGAACUUGUCAAGGCUUGUAAGAGUGCGGAAGCGGCCCAGAUUGAAGCCCAAGACGCCCUCCAUGAGACCCAGGAGGCCAGGAUGGUCGUGGUGGGUAAGGCAUUCAAUAUGCAAAGCAUGAGUGUGAAGAGGAAAUAUCUUUUACUAACCCAGAUUCGGAGUUCUCCAGGGGCCUUUGCUGAUCUGCCACAUAGUGUGACCGACGCUGCGAAGUUCUUCCGAGCCGAAGAAGGGAGCUCCACCGAGAAGCUGUUCUGGACGCAAUAUUGCGCGCCCGAACAUCCGGUGUCCUUCAGCGAUCAGCUGAAAUAGCUGGUUGAGCUGCACAAGAUGGCCGAACUGGCCAUGAAAGAUAUGAUAAUCCGGCUGUGGCUAGCCAAAGCUAUUCCCAGCAGCUACUUCGGCCUCGUGAAGAAGCUGGUGGAUGCCUGUCCUUGGUUGGAUGUCAUCAAGCGGUCCGUCUGCAUGAAGGGUGCACGUCUGGCCUUCUCUUAUUGCAAAGUCUGGUGGGCGAAGCUGGACACUGUCAAGCUAGCGACCGGGGGGCCGCCGGAGGGCAAGGAGCACCGCACACCUGAACGAUGCUUCGGCGAUGUUUUAGAGGGGUCCCGCAUUGUUGCGGAUCACUGUUCGAAAGACAUUAUCUUUGAAUGAAUGUACUCGAGCUCCCUCUGCCUUGUAUAAAACAAGUUGUUUAUGCAAUAUGAUGCUUGUUAUGUUUUUAAAUUUUUACUUCCUGUGCGGCCGUGCUGUAUGAAAUCUGAGGGUUAACCAGUCGUCGGCUUCUGCCCCCAUGUAGGUAGUACGGGGGUGUUCGGGAUGGAAUAUAAACAAUCUUGAUCCUAUUAGAUGGUCCUUGAAGGAGUUGUUUAGCGCAAUGAACCAGGCAACCAGACUAUGCGGCUGUAACGUCCUCACUUAGCAAUAGGAGUACGACAAUAAAAACAUGGGUGCAGCCCCUAAUAUCCGAACUAGAGUGCCAUAGGCGCCUGAUUGGGAAGUACCGAUCCUUCGCAUAAUGCGGAAGAAAUCUCCAACGAUUUGCAACCUCCGAACAGCUGGCCGGCUCUCACCGCAUCAUGACAGUCAGUUUUCGGCUUUCUCUAUUGAGGUGCUCCUUUGGAUAAACCAAGGCACACUCACAGUAGUUCUCCCUUUACUACCUUAGCCGAUAGCGGAACGUAAGGUAGCAAGCACAGGAGCCGGGCAACCCAACUAUUGACCAAAUACAUGAUUCGAAGCCAAUGCAUAUAAUGCUAAAUUUGGGGUGCCGAACUAUACUUAUAAAAAGUGUUCGGACUUUUGUUGCCACAGUGUGGGGUGCUAUGCAGCCCCUGGCGAACAUGAAAACAUAUCAAAGUGUACGGGUGCUACCUGAUGGGGUUAUCCACAGGGGAGCUGAAAAAAAGAAAGAAAACAAAAAAGGUACGAAGGUAAAAAGCUGGAGUCCUAUAGCUCCAGCCGCAGACUGUUCUCACUGUAAUUUAAUUAGUAUGUCAAAGCACAUUGAUACAGGUAGUGCGAUAAGCAACAGGCUAUUUGACAUGACAAAACCAAGGGAGAGCUGCAUGCGGGUCCUGAAAAACAAGUAAAGUUAUAGUUAACGGAAUCACCUAAAAAGUCCCCCAUAUGUCUGCAUUUCUCGUCGUCUUGGUGUGUUGAUCCUUCAAAAGGACCGAUGAACAGGCCAUCAGAUGGUGCUUGUGGGAUUGAGACUUGAAAAGGAAACAAGUAAAAGUGGAAGUAUGUGUGUAUCUAAUGUCGGUUGAGCCGUACUACAGACCACAAGCUAGCUAUGCCUCCGUCGAUGCCCAUGGGAUUUUGAGUGUGUAGUUAUGUACGCGUGGCACAAAUGCCACCACUUGAUCUGAACUUCGAUGGAGGCUGGAUUGCUAGUCGAGCCGAGCUCUCCUGCUGCAGAGUAGUUCAGACCCUCUUAAUGGUAUCCGUGGGAUCGGCAGCCUAAUUAAGGUUCUGCUUGAGAAGGCCGCUCUGUACUUCUACUGCUAGGGCAGCUGUGUGCUCUUUUGUACGGAGGGAGCGUUCCGUAUUUCUGUUGACUGUUAUGAUGCCGCGUGGACCGGGCAUCUUGAGCUUGAGAUAAGCAUAGUGUGGUACCACAUUGAAUCGAGCAAAUGCUAGCCGCUGCAGAAGGGGACGAUAUCGAAGAUUAGCUCCUCGCUUCGGAAGUUGUCCAGAGAUCUGAAGACAACCUCUAGUGUGAUUGAGCCCGUACAACGGGCCUCUACACCUGGUAUGACUGCUUUGAAGGUAGUCCUAGUGGGCUUGAUCUAAGAUGGGUUAGUGCCCAUUUUUCGCGCUGUAUCCUAAUAGAGCAGAUUAAGGCUGCUACCUCCGUCCAUGAGGACACGAGUCAAGUGGAACCCAACAAUUAUUGGGUCUAGGACAAGUGCGGCCGAGCCACCGUGAGGAUACUGGUCGGAUGAUCCCGGCGAUCAAAGGUGAUCGGGCAUGACGACCAUGGAUUGAAUUUUGGGGCGACUGGCUCUAUCGCGUAGACGUCCCUGAGCGCACGCUUGCGCUCCCUCUUGGGGAUGUGGGUAGCGUAUAUCAUGUUCACCGUUUUGACCCGAGGGGGAAACUUCUUCUGUCCCCCUGUGUUCGGUUGCUGGGGCUCUUCGUCAUCGUCCUUGCUUUGUGAUCCUUUUUCCCUGUUCUCAGUGUUUAAUUUGCCGGCCUAUUUAAAAACCCAGCAAUCUCUAUUUGUAUGAUUGGGUGGCUUGUCUGGGGUGCCAUGAAUCUGGCACGGACGAUCAAGUAUGCGGUCCAAGCUGGAUGGGCCUAAAUUGUUCUUUUGGAACGGCUUCUUCCGCUGGCCGGACUUAGAGCCCCUGAAUCCGGCAUUGACUGCCAUGUCCUUGGUGUUAUCACUAUUGUUUCGACGGUUGUAUCUGUUGCGCUGAGACUUGUCUUUGCUAGUUCUAGCUUCAGGGGUACCGGCAUCUCUUGCAUUGUUUUUUCUAUGGGCCAACCAACUUUCCUCACCCGCACAAAAGCAGGUCAUGAGUGCCGUGAGGGCUUCCAUGGAUUUUGGCUUUUCUUGGCCAAGGUGGCGAGCGAGCCAUUCGUCGCGACUGCUAGAGCUUCGGCAUCCAGACAAUCAACGAUUUGGUUCUUUUUAGUUAAGAACCUUGUCCAGAAUUUCCUGGCGGACUCUUUGGGCUGUUGAACUAUAUGGCUUAAGUCAUCAGCGUCCGGAGGUCGAACAUAUGUACCUUGGAAGUUAUCGAGGAAGGCCUCUUCCAAGUCCUCCCAGCUGCCAAUAGAAUUUGCAUGCAGACUGUUGAGCCACUGCUGAGCUGGCCCCUUGAGUUUUAAAGGGAGGUAUUUGAUGGCGUGGAGGUCAUCGCCGCAGGCCAUAUGAAUGUGAAGAAUAAAAUCUUCGAUCCACACCGCGGGGUCCAUGGUUCCAUCGUAUGAUUCUAUAUUAACGGGUUUGAACCCUUCUGGAAAUUCAUGAUCUAGGACCUCAUCGGUGAAGCAAUGAGGGUGUGCAGCGCCUCUAUAUUGGGCCGUAUCGCGACGUAGCUCUGAUGGAGUCCGUCUGCGGUUUUCAUCCGCGCAUGACUAAAUUUGUCAUGUCCAAAUAGGUGGUUGUCGUCGCGUGUCGAGGCAUGUCCUCGCGAUCCAUAGAUUGAUCUAGUAUGUCCUGCUUUAUUGUUCAGGCUUUGCCGAAGGUCGUAUGUAUGACCGUGGGCUAAUUUACCUCUACCUGUGCGAUGAGGCGGGGCUGGAUGGUGUUCAUCGUGAGUUGCCGUUUUGUCCCGACCACCACGUGGUCGGUCAGCCGCUUUGUACAAUGGAGGUAUGUAUUCCGGCGCCUCCUUGUCGAACUGAGGUAGCAAUUUGAGCUUUGGGUAGCCUUUGGUUGGGUGCUUGAGGCCGUAUUCUUCGGCUGCUAGGACAUCAGUCUAUUUAUCAUUGAGCAGAUCUUUGUCAGCUUGAAGCUGCUGCUGCUUCUUUUUCAGGCUCCUUGCAGUGGCAAUUAGCUGGCGCUUAAAGCGCUCCUGCUCAAGAGGUUCCUCAGGCACGAUGAAAUCCUCGGUGCCAAGGCUCACCUCGUCCUCGGAGAGCGGAAGGUAAUUAUCGUCCUCCGAAUCUUCGUGGCAUGGCCUGUUUACCAGGGCUAGCCUUCCCAUCUUCCCGUUUAUCUUGUUCAUUAGCUGUUUCAACGGGGUCUUCAUUGUCUUCGACACCCUCCGGAGUGUUAUCUUCUCCUGUGCCAGUGUUGCUAUCUUUAUUGCGGCGUGAGUUAGAGCGGCGCCGCUGACGCCGGUGCUUGGAUUGUAUUUCGGAAGGUUUAUCCUCGGCUGGAUCUUCCUUGUCAUUGCCGCUGUUCUCCAUUGGUGCGUCCACCAUGUAUACAUCAUACGAGGAAGUGGCCGUCCAGCAUCCAGUGAACGGCAGGUUCUGGGCCUCUUCUUCUCCGGCAUCGUCGUCCAUACUGUCGAUGUCCUCGGAGUCGUAAUCAAGUUUGUUGGUCAAAUCCUCAACCGUGGCUAUGAAGUGGGUGCGGGUGGGAAACAAAAUUCUCCACCGUCAGCCCCUAGUUUGAGCUGAAUAUAGUUCGGCUGUGAGUCCUCUGCCAAGGACAGGUUUUUAAUGAGUUUAGCACAUCGCCCAAAGGCGAGUGCUGGAAGACGUCUACGACGCUGGAUUCGAAGAUCGACAAAUGAUCAAGCUCGGCGUCCGCAGGCUCACGUGGUUUGGAACUUUCGACCGGAUACGAGUCCGGAGUUCCACUGACAAAAACAUCGUGGGAGGUUGAGUCUAUGUGAGGCUCCAACGCCGUGGAAUCUGUGGCCUCCAUGGUGGGGUUGAUCCUCCCGUCCUUGGAUGGCGUAGCUUGCUCCGGAUCUAGGGCCAGAGUGGUUACAGGAGCAAUCUCCUGGGUGCGGCCAGAUGACAUAUUUAGGUCAUGAUCAUCGGGGGACCGGGAGCGGCUACCGCGGUCUCGAAUACGGCGAAGAUCAAGUCUCCACGGAUGUCCGUAAUGUAGUUCAAGCUCCCGAAUCUGACCUGAUGGCCAGGGUGUAGCUUUCGAUCUGCUCCAGAUGGCCAAGCGAAUUGGCCCGCAAUGCGAAGCCGCCGAAUAUGAAGAUCUGUUCGGGGAGGAAAGUUUCUCCUUGGACAGCGUCAUUAUUGACGAUUAAAGGGGCCAUCAAACCUUUUGGCGACAGCACAGUGGAACUCUCAAUGAAAGCACCAAUGUCGGUGUCAAAACCGGCGGAUCUCGGGUAGGGGUCACGAAUUGUGCGUCUAAGGUCGAUGGUAACAUGAGACAAGGGACACGAUGUUUACCCAGGUUUGGGCCCUCUCUAUGGAGGUAAUACCCUACAUCUUGCUUGAUUGAUAUUGAUGAAUAUGAGUGUUACAAGAGUUGAUCUGUCUCAAUAUCGUAAUGGCUAAACCAUAGAGGCCUAGCGUGUAUGGCUAUGAUAAUCAGCCUCCUCUAUCCGGACUAAGUCCUCCAGUUUAUAUAGACACCGGGAGGAUCUAGGGUUACAUAAGGUCGGUUACAAAAAAAGGAAUCUACAUAUUCAGCCGCCAAGCUCGCCUUCCACGCCAAGGAGAGUCCUAUCCGAACACGAGUACAGUCUUCGGUCUUUGUAUCUUCACAGCCCAUCAGUCCGGCCCAUAGCCAACAGGCCGGACACCCGAGGACCCCUUAAUCCAGGACUCCCUCACCCUUGCCCACGCCUGGGCUGAGGCCUCCCUCGCUGCCUUUUCGACUGCCACCCGAUCCCACCAGGCGACGCGCUCCGUGUCGGCGGGGUCCAGGUCGAGGUCCUCCGCGGGCUGGCCCUCCUCGCGCUCAAUGACGCUGCUCCGGAUCUUCCUCCAGAUGGCCUUGUUCCCAGACGCGGCCACCAUCGCCGCCAGAGCCAACUCGUGGGUCGACCUGUGCCGCGAAGACAACAUAAGUAGAAUGCAACCAAACAACGAGCGAAUGCCAGCAAGUUACACUUACCCGAUGGCUGUCAGGAUGGCCCAUGUCGGCGCCACAACUGGGGCAGCCCGAGCUUAUUCUUGGCGGCACCCUUGUCGCAGCCGGCUGGCCUCCGCCGUGCGCUUCGAGGAUGACCGCGGCGCCACCAUCUCCUUCCCGUGCGGCCGGCGCGCGACCACCGGCUCGCGUGACGAUCCGGUCCUGGUCGACUUCAUCAGCCGCCAUGGGGGAUCGAUGCUGCCGUCCCCUCCCAACGAUGGCGCUACACCGCCAACGCCCGUCAGGUCCUCCUCGCCAUUGUCCGGCUAGUCGCACAGGAGUUCUGGGUGCGGAGACUUACCCGCGUGGCGUGCCGCGCCGGCUUCGGCUCUAGCCGCCUACGUGUCGGCCGCCCCCUCAUUCUCGAUGAUGGACUUGCCUCCAUCUGAGUCGGGCAGAUCGUCCAGCAAGAUCUGCGCCCUCGUCCCGUCUCGGACCUGCUGGGUCGCAAAUAGCUACGGCUCUACCAUCACAUCAGGACGAAGAAACAAUCCAGACAUGGCAAAGAACGGGGACCAGGGACUCAUCGUCGGCGCCGGUCUGCUGGUUGUAGGGCGCCUUCCCGAAUUGCUAGCCGGCGGUCAACCCGGCCUUCGAGAUGCUAUUGACCCGGCUGAUGAUUUGAUUCGGCGUCAGCUCCCAGGUCAACAUCUGGGUGGGGUCGUGCUGGUCGCUCAUCUUGGCGAUCUUGUGCGCCCGACGCUGUAGCGGCAGCACCCAACGCACGAUGAAGGCGGCGAUGAGAUCCGUCCCAGUGAGCCCCUCGCAUGCCGUCAUCUCGACGAUCCAGCUGCAGAUAUCCGCAUCUCCCGGGUGGAUUCUUGGGCUAGUGGCCCCAGUUCGUUUUGGCAAGCGACGGCUCGUCGACGAACGGCGGCAGGUGAUAUGUCUCCAACGUAUCUAUGAAUUUGAUUGUUCCAUGCUAUUAUAUUAUCUAUUUUGGAUGUUUUAUAUGCAUUAAUACACUAUUUUAUAUUAUUUUUGGGACUAACUUAUUAACCUAGAGCCUAGUGCCAGUUUCUAUUUUUCCUUGUUUUUGAGCUUCACAAAAAAGGAAUACCAAACGGAAUAAAACCUUCGUGAUGAUUUUUCUUGGACCAGUAGACACCCAGGAGACUUGGAGUACAAGUGAGAAGAGCCACGAGGCAGCCACAAGGGUGGAGGGCGCGCCCCCUACCUUGUGGGCCCCUCGGUGACCCCCUGGCCUAGAUCUUCCUCCUAUAUAUUCACAUAUAUUCCCGAACCACCAGAAGCAUCCACGUAAACACUUUUCCACUGCCGCAACCUUCUGUUCCCGUGAGAUCCCAUCUUGGGGCCUUUUCCGGCACCCUGCCGGAGGGGGAUUCGAUCAUAGAGGGCUUCUACAUCAACUCUAUUGCCUUUCCGAUGAAGCGUGAGUAGUUUACCUCAGAUCUACGGGUCCAUAGCUAGUAGUUAGAUGGCUUCUUCUCUCUCUUUGAUUUGCAAUACCAUGUUCUCCUCAAUGUUCUUGGAGAUCUAUCUGAUGUAAUCUUCUUUUGCGGUGUGUUUGUCGAGAUAUGAUGAAUUGUGGAUUUAUGAUCAGCUUAUCUAUGAAUAUAAUUUGAAUCAUCUUUGAAUUCUUUUAUGCAUGAUCUGAUAUCUUUGUAAUUCUCUUCGAACUAUCGGUUUAGUUUGACCAACUAUAUUGGUUUUUCUUGCAAUGGGAGAAGUGCUUAGCUUUGGGUUCAAUAUUGCAGUGUCCUGCUACCUCUUGAGCACUGCGUUGGUUUUCCCCGAAGAGGAAGGGAUGAUGCAACAAAGUAUCGUAAGUAUUUCCCUCAGUUUUUGAGAAACAAGGUAUCAAUCCAGUAGGAGGCUACGCGCGAGUCCCUCGUACCUACACAAAACAAAUAAAUCCUCGCAACCAACGCAAAUAGGGGUUGUCAAUCCCUAUAAGGCCACUUACGAGAGCGUGAUCUGAUAGAUAUGAUAAAGAUAAUAUUUUUGGUAUUUUUGUGAUAAAGAUGCAAAGUAAAAUAAAGGCAAAGUAAAUAGCAAAGGAAAUAACUAAGUAGUAGGAGAUUAAUAUGAUAAAGAUAGACCCGGGGGCCAUAGGUUUCACUAGUGGUUUCUCUCGAGAGUAUAAGUAUCUACGGUGGGUGAACAAAUUACUGUUGAGCAAUUGACAGAAUUGAGCAUAGUUAUGAGAAUAUCUAGGCAUGAUCAUGUAUAUAGGCAUCACGUCCGAGACAAGUAGACCGACUCCUGCCUGCAUCUACUACUAUUACUCCACUCAUCGACCGCUAUCCAGCAUGCAUCUAGAGUAUUAAGUUAAAAACAGAGUAACGCCUUAAGCAAGAUGACAUGAUGUAGAGGAAUAAAUUCAUGCAAUAUGAUAAAUACCCCAUCUUGUUAUCCUCGAUGGCAAAAAUACAAUACGUGCCUUGCAACUCUUUCUGUCACUGAGUAAGGACACCGCAAGAUUGAACCCAAAGCUAAGCACUUCUCCCAUGCAAGAACUACCAAUCUAGUUGGCCAAACCAAACGGAUAAUUCGAAGAUCCUUGUAAAGAUAACUCAAUCAUACAUAAAAGAAUUCAGAGAAGAUUCAAAUAUUAUUCAUAGAUGACAUGAUGUAGAGGGAUAGACUCAUGCAAUAUGAAGAAAACCCCAUCUUGUUAUCCUCGAUGGCAACAAUAAAAUACGUGCCUUGCUGCCCCUACUGUCACUGGGAAAGGACACUGCAAGAUUGAACCCAAAGCUAAGCACUUCUCCCAUUGCAAGAAAGAUCAAUCUAGUAGGCCAAACCAAACUGAUAAUUCGAAGAGACUUGCAAAGAUAACCAAUCAUACAUAAAAGAAUUCAGAGAAGAUUCAAAUAUUAUUCAUAGAUAGACUUGAUCAUAAACCCACAAUUCAUCGGUCUCAACAAACACAUCGCAAAAAGAAGAUUACAUCGAAUAGAUCUCCACAAGAGAGGGGGAGAACAUUGUAUUGAGAUCCAUAAAGAGAGAAGAAGCCAUCUAGCUACUAACUAUGGACCCGUAGGUCUGAAGUAAACUACUCACACUUCAUCAGAGAGGCUAUGGUGUUGAUGUAGAAGCCCUCCGUGAUCGAUGCCCCCUCCGGUGGAGCUCCGGAAUAGGCCCCAAGAUGGGAUCUCGUGGAUACAGAAAGUUACGGCGGUGGAAUUAGGGUUUUGGCUCUGUAUCUGAUCGUUUGUGGGUACGUAGGCAUAUAUAUGAGGAAGGAGUACGUCGGUGGAGCAACAGGGGGCCCACGAGGGUGGAGGGCGCGCCUGGUGGGGGUGGGCGCGCCCCCCUACCUCGUGGCCUCCUCUCUUGUGCCUUGACGUAGGGUCCAAGUCUCCUGGGUCUUAUUCGUUGAGAAAAUCACGUUCCCGAAGGUUUCAUUCCGUUUGGACUUCGUUUGAUAUUCCUUUUCUUCGAAACCCUAAAACAGGCAAAAAACAGCAAUUCUGGGCUGGGCCUCCGAUUAAUAGGUUAGUCCCAAAAAUAGUAUAAAAGUGGAUAAUAAAGCCCAGUAAUGUCCAAAACAGUAGAUAAUAUAGCAUGGAGCAAUCAAAAAUAAUAGAUACGUUGGAGACAUAUCAACCAUCCCCAAGCUUAAUUCCUGCUCGUCCUCGAGUAGAUAAAUGAUAAAAACAGAAUUUUUGAUGCGGAGUGCUACUUGGCAUAAUUUUAAUGUAAUUCUUCUUAAUUGUGGUAUGAAUAUUCAGAUCCGAAAGAUUCAAGACAAAAGUUCAUAUUGACAUAAAAAAAA